rnacentral:lncRNA from 1 species
ACACACACACACACCUGGGUUCCGGACGGUUCCUUUGACGGUGUAGCCCUUCUCCAGGAGCAGCUUCACCAGCCAGGAGGCGAUGAAGCCACCGGCGCCGGUUACGCAGACGGUCUGGCCGUGGCCGGAGGCGGUGGAAGCAUCGACGGUCAUUUUGCACGGCGUUCAAGGGGAGUGCGAGACGCGAGGAGGAGGAGUUGGUGGGGUUGGUGAGCGCUGGCGGAUGAGAGGGCCGAUCAAUUUGUAAUCUGAGGUGGAACAGCCGCGGUUAAGGGGAGUAGGUGGUCACCGGUGACUGGUGAGGUCACUUCUGACCAACUGACGAGCAAUUAAUUAGUCUAUAUACGAUCCUGCCGUGGAUUCCUGGCAAACCGAGAGAAUUAGAACGUGGACAAAUCGAUCGCCUUGGUUGGUGGAAUAUGUAUUAGUUAAGCCUUCACGCUGCAAGUUGGAAGAAGCGUAGCCAAAGCUAGAACAUGCUUGCCAUAAUUGUAAGAAAAUAUAAUAUAUAUAAAUAAAUUUAUUUUAUUUUAUUAACUUAAGUUUUUAGGAUAAGUGAUGAUCUCAAUAAUAACAAGAGAAAAAAAUGAUGAAGGAUCGUCGAGGGGCGCCUAGUGGUUACACUUCCUCUUUAUUCCUUCUGAAUAGGAAUGAAUGAUUUCUUGUUUCUGGGUUAUAUGCGAAGUGAAUAUCUAAUACCUAAAUAUAUGUAAUUUACCUAAGAGUCAUCUUUUUACUCAUGCAAUAUGUUGCAAAUUUAACUUCAUAGAUACCGAUUUUUAUAAUAAGCACAACUAAUCAAGAAUGAAGUGAGUAGGAAAGACAUAGCUAUAAAGACAUGCGGAUGGCAUUGUCUUUAAAGAUAAACUUCGUGUUUCUUGGAAUCGAUCACUGAAUAUGAAGGAUUCCAACAUGUCUACUCUUCCAACUACAAAGAUUUGAAUGAAUUACUUUUGAUUGCUCCUUGCCUCGAGACUCAAAAUGUAAUGUAUAUCUAGAAUGAGAGGAAAAGUCAAGUAUUUAUAAAAGAGUCCUUUACGGCUUGUCUUCUCAAUGGCAGUGACCAUUCGGUCCUAAUGUAUAUGGAUUGGACCAAAACAAAUAAGGCAGCGGCUUGUGCAUGUGUCGUAGUCCUUAGAUCCACACUCUAGGGGAAAACUUAUAGAAAGCGCAUCUCCACAUAUGGAUCUUUCUAUCCUGAGAUAUCUAACUUGGCGUGACUCAAAAUAUAAAGUUUGUUCAAUGACUUCUACUAUGCAAUGUGGGACAAACACCAAAGGAAGUUGAAAUGUUUUAAAUUACUGAAAUAAGAACAGUUGAACUAAGACGACGCAUCCUCAGAAUUCUUGUUUUAUAUUGUAGAGUCGACAAGCCAUCCCUCCUCCCUAGCAAAAACAACUAUGAUAGGUUACUCUCGGAUGUUGCUGUCAAAAUUUGGUCAAUUGAAAACGUUUUUACUCGAUUAGAUCAGGGCGGCCCGGUUGGUGGGAAAAUGGACGAGUCUAAAGUCUAACUUUCAAACAACUCAUAGAAUAUUAGUUGGUGACAAGAGUCCGCAUAAAAAUUUUCAUGCGUCCGCAGGAAAUAAGAGACAGCACUCACCCAACUAAACACGUGGUGAUAAUUGGGAAGGUGGGGGACUGAGAGCGGUUUUUUUUUCUUUCUUUUUUUUGAUAAAAACGGCAUUCAUAUAACUCUUACGUAGGUACAACCUGCCAAAUCAAAAGCAAAAAUGAUACAAUGAAGAUAGAAUCUCAAUACACAUUGUACUGCAUGGAAGGAACCCAUCCCCUUGACCAGUCGGCAAGUUUUCCGAAUCAGUGGGUGGCCAUCUCCGUAUAGAAACACAAUGGGCACCACAAGCACCUACAUAAACGUGCAGUACCAUACUAAUUAUCUUGGCUUAUUUUCACGGGCGAAUCACCAAGAUGAGCAUACGAUAAAUUGUGCCUAUAGAAACGAGCUGAGAUGAUUGGCGUGGUGUAUACAGUGCAGGAUAUAAAUUUUAAUAAUUGAAUGUCAUUACCUUUUUCAAUCCAACUUGUUGGAGUUUCAUGGCAUGGCGACCUCCAGCACAUAAUAUUGAAUUCUAUUGUCAGAAUAAUCUUUCAUGCUAUUUUCAUAUGGCUGCAUUUAUCCUGUAGUUCCAUUCAGUUUUUACUAUUUAAUAAAACAACUACCGGUAGUUCUUUCCUUAAAAGUAUUGUGUAAGUUGUGUUUACUGAUUAAGCCGUAAUCCUGUCAUACGUAGUGUUUGAAACCUAUCAGCUUGGUCAGUCAAUUUCCAAUAACUAUGGAUAUUUAUGUAUAUAGUUCGUUCAUAUGUGAUGUUAUAAUAUAUGAUAAAAAAAUGCUUAAAUUAUUUUUGAUGGAUAAAAUUUGACAUACAACAGGAGUUCAACUGAUGGUUCUAUUCUUUAACUUAAUGUUCUUUAUAAAAUUAAUUUCUAGCCUGCAAUAAUUAGAUUUUAUAUACAAUUUUCUUGUGAUACCUGCUCUUGACCCAGUUUCUUAUUUCAGGUCAGCAGGAUUUUCGAGUUGUUGGAACCGUAAGAUUGGAAACGGGAUUUUCCAUAUUAUAUUGUCUUGGACCGAGCCCGCCGGCCUCUCCAUUCCACUUCCGUAAUUUAUCAGAGGCGACGCACGACUGCUUCAGGCCAUUGGAAUGCAUGGACAAGGAGGAUCAGGUUCUUUUCAUGGCCGACAGCAACAAUCAAAAAAAAGAAGUUCUUAUAUAACUUAAAAUCUUACUCAAAAAAAGUUAGCCGAAAGGUAUUAUUUGGUUCCUUCAUCCUAUAUAAGUAUCAAAGAUCUAUCCAGCGAAUAAUCAAUAUGGAACUAAAUAUACGUCCGUACAAAUUCUCACAGUUCGAACCGCAUUCUCGAGCCGAGCAAGGCAUGAUGUAGCACCUUAUAUUACAUCUGAUUGAACAAUUGGUGGAAAUGCAACCUUUCAAGAGGAUAGGUUAUUUAUGCUAGUGGACUGGAAGUUGAUGAAGGCAGAGAAUGAGUCUUGGUGCAAUAGUAAUUAAGGUUAUUGCUCUAUUGUAACUCGGAAAUCGCAGGUUCAAAAUAUAGAAACAGUCUCUCUUCGCAUGUGGGGAUAAGGCUGUGCACAUCUAACUUUUUCUAAAUCAUGCAAUGAUGAGAACCUUAUGUAUCGGGUCAUAGGAAGUGGAAUGGUAGAUGUACCCCGACCAAGUCCAUUACCAGUCCUUCUAUGAGGAAAAAAAAAGGUUACCUUCUUGUGAUGGGCUUUGUCGGAUGGAUUAAUUGAUAUCUAUAGCAGCUCGAGCUGAGACGUGGCUACCUUGCAAUUGAGUUCGGAAGUGGAAUGGUAGAUAGCCAGGCUUACGUGGGUUGGAUAUAAAACAGUGGGAAAUGUCCAGUGAGCACGUACGUACUGGAUUGGCGGACAGGGCGCAUAUAGCGUGCUUCCAAUUUCUGAAUACAUUACUUAUGUCCGAUUCAGAUUAGAAUAUGGCUUCAUGCAGUACGUGGAUAGAGUGUAAGAAUAUUUUCGAUCCGACUACUCCUCUAAAGGUUAUUUGGCCAAUGGAUGCCCAGUGGUCAGAAAACCAAUUAUGAGCAUGAGAGCAUGCAUAUGUGGACUGCCAUUCAUUAUAUGAUGGAUCUGCUCAAGUGGUCGGCUUUAUGGUGCUUUCAUCACCAUAUGUGACCUUAAGGUAAUGUUCUCCUUUUGAAGAUGCCAAAACAAUCUGCUUGUAUUCUUUUUUGUGUAUGAAGAUGAUUUAAGAUUUUCUUUGUUGGCAGAAUUUUUCAGCAAAAUUAGUUACUCUGGCAUAUGAAAGCAUUUUCUGACGAAUAUUUUCUGGAUCAUUGAAUAUUAUGCUCCUGUACCCUAGCUUCCAGGCGGUUUCUAAGCCGUUUUUAAUAUAUUUCAUGACUUUUUCUGGAAUUUUGAGCCCAUUUAGUGAUGCUCUUAUAAACGCAUUUAUAUCUUAUAUAACUGUAAAGCACUGUUACUUGGGUAAUGGAUGGCAUGGUAAUGUCUUUUCUGGUAUUGUAUCUAUCAGAAUAAAUUUUAAUUUUCAAAAGCUAUCAUUUUGCAUUUCAUAAGAUUUUUUAUAUUUUGUCUGCUAGCUGUGGAGGACCGAAUCUGUGUUUGGCUUUUAUCAGUCAUGCAUGCUUCGGGAUCUGUGUGUUAGCUGCUAAGAAUUUUUUGUUAGCUGCUUGCACGCAUUGGAGAAUCUAACAUACUUUAUCUUGUGGUUGAAAGUGCAAUCUCAAGCUAUCCUUUUAAUUUUUUAAAUGGAUUGUUUAGUCCAAUGGAAUCAGUUUCAUCGAUGUGUCAAUACUCUUAGGUGCUUAUGAGUCGGUAUAUCUUUGUGUGAACUCCUGUUAGAGCAAAUAAGAUUAUGGAAAGCCAGACGAUCGAUCAAAUGCCUCUUGAGCCACUUUAGUUUGUCAGGAGUUCAUAUGUGCGUACUUUUUAUCUUAUAAAACAAAUAGUUUUCCUUUGAGAAGAGCUGAUAUGAUCCUAUGAUUUCUAUAGCGUUAAACAGAUCUGUUAUUCUUUGUUACUCAUAACAUUCAUCAUUCAUCCAUGUGGUUACCAGUGUUCUGUGAACAAUACAUUUUUUUAUCUUUUUUUGAUAAUAAAGGAGGCAGGUAAAGCAGCCACCCAGCUUUUAUUGAAAAGCAAAAGUAACUAUAGAAGAAGAAAAAGAAAAAGUUACAACAGCUAACAGAGAUUAGAUUAGAACAGGCCAAUAUGGCAGAAACAAAAGCUAACAAAAAUAGUGAACAAUACAUUGUUACAACAGCGGUCAUAGGAGUAACUCCCAGAGCAAGGAUACGUGAAAUUGCAGUAUGACAGGCCAUAAAGUUGAGAGUGCUCAAGGAGAUAUUACUGGAAUUUCUCUUUUCUUUUUGAUGAAAUAUGGAGGCAGCGACAAACUUCCCCCAUGCUUUCUUAAAAGUCCAGAUGAUUCCAGAGCUGAUCAUAUUACUGAAUUUCUGAAACUAAAAUGGAUCAUUUUUUCCUUUUUUUUAACAAAAAAAAGACUACUUUCUUGCUUUCUCAGAAGCUGCUGCAAUGAAGACCUUUUGGAUAUUCACAGACAAAAGAAGUCUGCAAACAUCAAAUGGUGCAAUAAUACAAGGAUCGUUCUGUACGUGCCAGAGCUAAUAAUGUUCUUGUCGGGUUAAUGCCUGUCUCUAUAAUCUAUCGUCUAGAGAAACUUGUUCUAACAAUGAACUGUCAGGAAAAGGGAACUUUUUCACCUGAAUAUACGGGGAAUUAUGAAAUUGCAUUGAUGAUAGGCUUGUCUUGGACUUGAAAGAUGAGUAUGGCCAUUUAUGCAUUCUUUCAAAAAAAAUUUAAACAAAUUCAAACCUUUUGGAUAAUAAUAGCAAGAACAUCCAAAAGAUGAGUAUGGCCCUCCAUCCAAGCACCAGCCCCUACCCCUUAAAGAUGAUUACUAUGAUCCUAGUUUGCUAGAUUAAUAAUUUUUAAGUGAAUGCUACAACAUUAGGAAUUAUGAUAGAUGUUUGGGCUUGACCAUAAUCUGAAUUUAAUACCUUCCUCCAAUUGGGUCCGUCAAGGGGGUCAUAAGGUUUUAAUUCGUGAUACUUUUGGCGUUUUCACAAUAUCUGAUAGCUACCCUCUCUCCCACGCCGAAACAAAACGGUUAUUUGAAGAUGCGGUCCCUGGGCACUGUUACCGAGGUCAAACCCAGAAAACAAACGGCCGUCCCUGUCGUGACCAAACCCGUUAGCCACCCAAAGCCCAUUAAGGUGUGCCAAGUGUCCCGAAUCCCCAAAGUUCUCCUCUCCCUGUAACGGAAAACAAACCGCCGUCAAAAGCCCUCUAUUUCGCCGGCCCCCAAAGUCCACCUGGUCAACACCGGUCCAAAGAUCACAUGCCCUGCCACCGCUCCAACCCUCUUGUCGAAACGCGCGAAACCCACGCUAUCUCCGUGAAUUCAUUCCGUCUCCUUUCGGGGCUCCGAAUCGCCGGAAAACCCGAAACCCGGUCCCUUUCCCCAAGGGCAUCGGGGAGCUCCCAUGGCGGAGGAGGUGGGGUCUGGAGCUCGGGAGCACGACAAGGCCGAUCGAGAGGCGUUUUCAGAGUCUGCUUCUCCUCCCCCUCCCCUCGGAGCUGAGGGAGGUGAUCCCAAAACCCUCGCCCCUCCGGAUUUCUCUGCCCGACCCGGCGGCGAUGGAGGAGGCGCCGGUGACCACCGCUCUUUCUCGCAGCUCCUCGCAGGGGCCAUGGCAUCGGCGGCCGUGGUCCUCCCCGUGCCCGUGCUCGCCGUCCCCUGCUACAUCGCCCCCGCCACGUGGCUCCCGGUACUGUUCCUUUGUCUUCUUCUCUUUUUUUUUUUCCUCCGAAUUCUUUAGUUCAACGUUAUGCCUUUCUUGUGUAUUAUUUUUAAAACUUUGGAACAGUAGCUGGCUGGUUCUUCUUUUAUCUAAAGAAUGAAAAAAUUGCACGAAACCUUGUGCCGAUGAGCGUUUGUUAUUGGAAUUGGAGAUAAUUAAUUAUAUAUAAUAUAUAUAAGAUAAAUGACCAAAACGAACAAGAAAGUUCUUCCAAGAAGGUGGCUGUAUGGAAUAUCUAAAUUAAUUCAGUUUAUACAAACGAAAAUGACUUUGAACUAGGACUAGGUCUUGAGGCCAACCAAAAGAGGCAUAAAAAAGAACAGGUCAGACUGCUGCACAAGAACCCAUCUUUUUGCAGGAGUUAUCUCGAAACUGUUGUUCACUUGUUAUCUUGCUUGCAAGCCUGCUGGUUUUAAUGAUUCUUCAUGCAGUCCCAUUUUAUUUUAGUGGCAGAUAUGUUCGUUUGUCGCAUAAGAGUCUCAUCUCUUGCAGUAAUGACAAGGAAGAAGAUGUUAACUUGUCAGGUCAUUGAAUCUCUCAUGGUGUGGAUUAUGCGACAACAUGCUACAAGAACAAAAUCCUAAGAAUGUCAUCAUGCUAUUUGUUUGAAAGUCUCCGAGAUGUGAAGAGUAAGGAUGAAAGUGUUGCAUAUUGUGUUUCUGCUGGCAAAAAGCUGGCCUGACACAGCAUGAACUAGCAUGGAAGAUGCAGAAGCCUUACAACAACAACAACAACAACAACAAAAAAUUCUAGUAACAUGCAAAAAUACCUACAUUACCAAAUUGGUUUUUAACUUGGACCGAAUUUAAUAUUGCUGAGCUAGAAUUUGGUUGUCUCUUGAAUUAUAUAAAAAAACAUUGUUCUAAACCAAUUGUGAAAAUCUAGCAUCAUAUUCUUCCUAGAUAUAUGUAUCAAAAGGUACCGUCUCAUGUACUCCACAAAUUGUGAUAGACAUGACUCACCAAUACAGGUAUACUGCAUAGAAUAGAAGGGUAGAUGAGUCAAGGUAGAUUGUGCAUUAGAGCUAAGGGCACAUGUGCAUAUAUAAUCUCGAAAAAAAUGAUUAUAGAUGCAUAAGAUGAUAAACCAUAUGUAAAAUGACAAUUAUAUGACUUUGGAUGAAAAUUCUGUAAAUAUGAAAAUAGGAAUGUGAUGAGCUCCCAUGAACCUACGAUUUUAUCAUCAUCAACUCGCUCAUCCCUAUCUAGUUCAUUUGAAGGACCUCCUUGAUUGCUUCUCAGUUCUUGAUAUUCAUCUCAAAGGACCCAGACCUAAGGCACACCCUGUGUUGUAAUUUUGUCUGUUUUUACAAGUUCAUUUAAAUGUAAAGCUUAAAAAUGUCAAUUAAUUAAUUUUCAGAACCCACAAGAAUGAAAAAGGAUUUUUGCAUAUAUGCCCCUCCCAAAUGGGAAAUUGCAUCGCCAUCCAUGCAAUUAGAUGGCAUCCUCCAAACAAGAAGUGAUGUGACCAUAUUACCUUACCAUUAUAUCCCUUAGAGGUUUUUGCAUAUAUCUUGUUCACAACUUGCUUUAUUUUUAUUUUUUUUUGCAAGUCAAAAGGUGAAAUAUUCAUAUAAAAUAUUAACUCCAUUUCCAAUAUUUGCUUUAAAAUAUUUGAAAAAUUAUAAAUAAUUGAUGUAAAAUAGUUAACAAGCAAGUCAAGUAUACCUUUUAAUCAGACUAACCUAAGGUUAUAAUGAUUUAAAAAAUGAAAGCAAAAAUAAUGGGGAGGGUGCAGAUGCAAAUUUUAGACUUUUGGAGAGGCAUAUAUGCAUUAUACAUUUCAAGGAGUAAAUGUGCAAAUAAGAGGUAUUUUAGGGGUAUAUGUGCAAAAUUUCAAAUAGGGUCUAGUCUUCAGUCAGUCUGAUGUAGUAUGAUGAUUUUGCAUAGCUAGCACAUCUAAUAUGUAUAUCAAGAAUCAGAUCAUUUAAAACAGAAGGAAAAGAAAAGAAGAGAAAUCUACCACAAAAGGCUUCAGUGACAGAUUAACAAGAGGGAUUAAAGUCUUCCUGGAUUUAGGACCUACUACUUUAAUGAUAGGCCCUACUACUUUAAUGAAAGGGCAACGACUAAUCAAGGUCGAGAGCAUAACAGCUUUUACACAUUCUCAUUUAUUUAUUACUGAUGGGGCUUCUCAUAUCGGUUGAUAUGGAUCAAAAUUACUUGUUCAACAUGAUUUUUAAGAAAUUCUUGUGCAAAAUUCAAUGUUUUGUUUGUAGGGCUGAGUAAUUCCCAAUCUUUUUUGGAUUAUUUUUUUUACAAGUGCUAUUUCUCCAGUUAUGUUUUAUAAAGGAGAAAAAAAUGAACUAUGUGUACUUUGUGGUCCUCAUAUCUGGCUGGAUGAAUUUAGAAAAGGUCAUCUGGAUCCGGGAUUUAUUUGCCCAUGUAGAUCAUUAGUUGCAAAAGUGGAAAAAUAUAGUUAGAGUUUCUUAACAUUUAGCAAUUAUGGUUGAUGCAGAGCCUCUUCUUGUUUAAAAUGCUAUCAAAUGCCCCGGAAAUGUGUAAAUCCUUUUCUUUUAGUUACCCUACAUAUGAUUUCAUUAAACAAGCAUGGACUCCUAAUCAUAGGUUCGGUUCACCAUGUAUUCCAUGUCAUUUUUCAAUUCUCUUUUUCUCGAUUUCAAGAAAUUCUGCAUGUUGUAAGUUAUCAAUGUAAUGAAAAGUCUAGUUGAUGAGUGCCCGAAUUUUGCUAUUCGUGAGUCAAAUUUUCGUCUUCUUGCCUCCAAUAUUGUUGCUUAAUUCUUGUUGUUUGAAAUAUUUAACUUGUCAAGAAUUUGUACAAUGUGAUGUCCAUAGUUGCAAUACAUAUUCAUUUUUGUCUUUUUUCCAGGGGCAGUUUGCAAUGACGCAUCAAGCAGUCUUGGCAUCUGUCACAGCUCAGGCUCUGAUGCAAUUGCAAAAAGAAUAUCCUUCCUCCUCAUCAGAAUUUUUGAGAAAUUCCGUACCACAACCUCAAGUAUCCAAUGUUACUCAGUUGCCAUCACAAGGCCCACUGCCAGUAGCAGGGAACAAUGCCUGUGCACCAGAGACAGAGCUGCCACCGUCAUCUCCCCAGAAACCUCAGUCUAAUUCUAUUGUUGUAAAGACAAGCUUUGAUGAUGAAAAGGCAAGCUCCGGUGAUGAUUACAACUGGCGGAAAUAUGGUCAGAAGCAGGUGAAGAACAGUGAGAAUAUCAGAAGCUAUUACAAAUGCGCACAUGCUGACUGUUCUGUUAAGAAGAAGGUUGAAUGUUGUCGAGAUGGUCGUGUCACUGAAAUAGUUUACAGAGGUUGUCACAAUCAUGAACCACCUCUCAAAGUUAGAGGCUUUAGAGAGAGAAAGUCAAAGUGUGGUGCCUCUUCUGUGGUAAAUAAAAACUUAGAUCUUCCAGGAACAGAACUUAAGGAAGCAGUUCCUUCUGCAUCUAAACUGCAACAGAGUUCUGGUAAUGAAACCUUUGAACAAGAGUUGCCCUGCUCCCAUGACCGCGAAGGAGAUUCUGGUGUGAAGACUGAAGAAGAUCUUGGUGAUAAACCAGAUCCAAAGAGAAGGCAAGUAGACAAGAUAUAUUAAUGUUUUGAAUAUUUGGUUCUAAUGCUACAAGUUGUGCUUACAAGUUUCUGUUCUAUGUGAAGCAGAAUCAGUAAAAGCACCAUGCUUCUUUCAGCUCCAAUACUUAAAACCAUCAGAGAGCCUAAAAUUGUAUUGCAGACAGCAUGUGAUGUGGGCCUAACAAGUGAUGGCUACAGGUGGCGGAAAUAUGGACAGAAAUUUGUGAAAGGAAAUCCAAAUCCCAGGUUUUGCCUCAGAUUUAUUAUUUGGUUAAUUUCUAAUUUCUGCAUAUCCAUCAGAAUGGAAUAUGGAAAAUUUAGUUGGAUGAGACAUUUUUUCAUAAAGAUCUAAUCGGUUAGUUUUAACAAGUAAAGUUGCUGACAUAUAUUAAAAUGGAAAAAAUGUGCUAUGAUGACUGUAGUUGCUACUUUACAACAAGCAUUUUUCUUAGAAAGUUUAUAAGUUGUUACUAACAAUCUAACAUCAUGAUUGUUGCUAUAAGAUAAGUAUUUUAUUAAUUGUUCAUGCGGGAUGCUUAUAUGCAGCUUACUCCAACCUCAUGAGCAAUAAAAUAGUUCUCUAUAGUGCCUAAUAUCUGGACUUUAACAUGUUAUCAAGGUAUAGUGCUCUCAUUUAUUGUUUCCAAAUCAAGAUGAACAUCUGCUUGAUGGUGACCUUAAAAUUGUUUGCUAGAACAUAAUAUAGUAUGCAUACGCCCAAUUAGAUACGUGAUUGGCAUUUUUCUCUCUACGUAUUGCAUAAUUUUUCUUGCAGGAGUUUAAAUGGGUCGAGUACAAUUAUGAACGACUUUCGAUUCAGGCUUGGCUGAUCUUGGUUAAGGUUAACAUUGAAAUUUGGGUCUACACUGAUAGGCGACUGUAGUUUAGGCAUGUUGCGGUAGUGUUUAAUUCAAGUGUGCUAGACACUAAACAAGAAAUCAUGUCAAAAUUCAGUCACCUUUGCCUCAAUUAUAGAUCUGCCCUCGCAUGUACACUGACAUUAAGGGUCAUGCAAAGGAUAGAAGAACUCGUUCUUGCCAAGUGUAUUUCCGAGAUAUCAUGUUCAGGUGCAUGUUGAGUUUCAGGUCAGCAAUUUCAUAAUACUAAAGAAUUUUUUUUGGGAGAGACAACCCAAUUGUAAAAUUCAGAAACAUGAUCAUUCAGUCUCUAUUUACUAGCUUGACGUGCUUGUAUGAUUGGUAACCAUACUAGUAUGAGUAGAAUAAUUGUAUCUUGCUUAGGUGAGAAAGUCUCCUUUUUUCUACCUUUCUUGUUCUUAGCAAGGACAUGAAUGGUUAUAGUAUUUUACUUGGUCUAUCUUAACUGAAAUUUGUGUUUGAGGAUUUUUUUUCUUAGCUCUGUGAAAUUGAAAUGCUGUUUGACUUCUUCCCUGCAAUUUGGAGGUCUCCUAUUUUAAGUUAAAAAACCAAGGGCUGUUUUAUGAGUUAUAAUGAAUAUAUUUGAAGCAACAUAUCAAGGUUGUAAAGUUCAACCUCAAAAAAUGUUUGAGUUCCUUUGGAUCCUAUUCAUGAUAGCAUUCAAAAGAAAGAAAAGAAAAGAGGAAAAACAGAAAUGAUUAAGACGAAAGAACAAAUAACUGUUUUUCCCUUGAGUAACAGUGGAAUAAGAGAACUAGACAUUCUUGCCAGGGUCUUAAUGAGGUGUCUCUUUUUCUUAACAUUUAUUCUUAGGUCAGAUCAGUCACAUGACAUAUUAAUUUUGUGAGUUUGAAGUGGUCAUAUGACUUAGCCAUUUCAUCGUGUUGCCUGUUAAUGAGGCCCAAGAAAAAUUAGGUGUUGAUGCGAAGAACGAGGGGUUUCACAAUAAAAUUCACGAGGAAACCAGAAAAUCCUGAUGAAACCAAAAUAUUAGCAAUCAGAGGUUAGAGCAUGAAAACUACAUUGGUUGGCAUGUUGAAUCUCUUCGUAUUUUGUAUUCAGAAGGUAGCUAAAGAAAUUGGGAAAUCUGCAGACAAGUGUUCUGGAAUAGCAAAGGCACUUCCAUUACCAAAGAAUUGCAAGGUACAGAUUCCAAUGGAUAUCAGUUGGGUCAACUUCUCCCUAACAAUGUGAAUGUGAAUAAUAUUACGGCUAGAAGAGGAGGUCAUUCCCAAUAGUCAGCUCAGUAAGAAGGCUGAUGAUAAGGUACGCAUGCAGGUAUGCAGAUACAUCAUUUCUGAUUAUGGACUAUUCAGUUGAGCUAGUACCCUUCAAGUAGGAUUGAAAUCUCAAUUCUACGAUCACAAGAUCAAUAGGGCCUUUUAAACUGAGGAUUCAAAUGAAUAAAGUCUAAAGUUGUUUAAUUACAAAACUGAUUUGAGCUGUACUACAAGUGUUGGGAUCUUUAGAAAUUAGACUAAAAUCAGGCUUGUUUAAAUUAAAAAUUAGAUUUUGGAUUCAAUCCUGGCCUGUUCUUAGAAGGUCAUUAGUUGUUACUUGUGAGUACAUCUUAACAUUGUUAGUUCCUUUUGUUGUUGUUGUUGUUGUUGUUUUUUUUUUUUUUGGUGUGUGUGGGGUGGGGGGGGGGGGGCUCAAGAGGGUGGAGUUGAAAGAAGAUAGCUUUUGUUAAAUUAUUAGGGUGGGGUGGGGGGUUAAAUUAUUAAAUUUAUGGAAGAAGUCUCUUUCAGUGUAGUUAUUGGUCUAUUGUGCCCUAGCCAGUCUUGCAAUAAAUGAGGGGUAUGUCAAUUUUUUAUACUAAUGAGGUAGUUUUUGAUGGCCAAAUUUGUUUUAUUUGAGCUUAUAUCUUAGACUGCUUUUAGGAAAAUUUGUUGCGAACCCAAUUUAAGCGAGCAUUGGGGAAACUCUUGUACUGAAGCAUACAGGUCCAUCUAAAAUGUUCAUUAGUCCAAACUGGUCACCAAGUAUCGUUACUGUACCGUAAGUAAAACAGGAAUAAGGUUUGUGUUGUUGUAAAGAAAAAGAUAAAUUUUAAAUUUGUAUCCAUCACCUUCUAAACUCUUAACAAAUUUUAGACUAUUCAAGAUUUAUUUCAGAGGUCUCAGUGAAAAACAUGUUUGUACUCUUAAAAUUUUAAUGACAAAUUUAUCUUUUUGCCCCUUUCUACCUAUUUUGUUUGUUGCAAUUACAUAGUGCUGCUAUACAAAUAAAAGUGGAAGUUAUCUGAGAAGUCAUUUGUUGCUCCUGUAACCAUUUCUGUGCCCCCACCUGUCACACAACCCGUGAAGGGAAACAAGAAGAAUCAUGUUUUUUUCUCGUUAUUCCAAAUAUUGUACUUUUCUUUUGUUUUUAAUACAUGAGAUUUAAUUAUAUUCUUAAUAUCUAUAAUAUCAGGAGUCAUGGGAAAGCACUGUAAAACAAGUCCAACCCAUGCAUACAAAAUAAAUAAAUAAAUAAAUUCCACAUUUGCAAAUGGGUGUUGUGGGGAAGAGUCCUAGUUGCCUCAAAGUUCUUGAUAGAGCCUUUGGUUGCCCAUUUGAAAAAUCUUUGGUUCAGAAAUUAUGCAAAAGGCAAAAGCAUAUCUUCAGUUUUGACCUAUUUGUGAAGAUUUCUUUGGUUAUCUGGCAUCAAGAACUUGGCUGCAAAUAGGUGCCUGAUAGUUACACAUUUUGUCUCGAGGUCAAAUUAGGACAUUUUAAUGUGCAAUCUAUUUAAGCUAAUUUAUUGUAAUCUAUUUAAGCUAUAUUAUAUUUCCCUUAAGCCUAAUCCUUCUCUUUAAUGUGUUCCAGAAGCUACUAUAGGUGCACUCAUAUCGGAUGUCCUGUACGUAAACACGUAGAGAAGUCUUCAGAGGAUGUGAAAUCUAUGGUCAUAACAUAUGAAGGCAAGCACAACCAUGACCUGCCAUCCCUAAAAGAUGGCAGUGAUCCACCUGCGAGCGCUCUUCUUACUGCUGCUGCAACUGCUGUGACCAACUAUGAGCAAACACAGAAAAACGAUCCAUUGUCAUAUGGAACACCCACAACCAAAUGGUUGCCAGAUGUGGAUGGGAAGAUAAUUAAUGAGCGGGCACAAGAGCUUGGAGGUGAGAAAGCAAUAGAAUCUGCCCAGACUCUUUUAAUUAUGGGAUUAAGUUCAACUUCAGAAAAUGUCGGCAGUAAAAAUUCUGAAGGUAUUCAGCAGCCUCGGCUAAAUGGGAACUGUACGCUUCCAGUCCAAAACUCAUGAAUUGACAGGUCCAUAAAGUUUAUAUCAUUCUGUCGUAUUUUCUUUUAUUUUCACUUCUAUUGGAUGCCUAUGUUAUAUAAAUAUGCUAGCUUCUGUACAGUUGCCGAGCAUCUUAUAGUUUUCCCAAUAUCAGAUUACAAAAACAUUUCUUGAUAUGUUUUGAUCCCAAAAGAGUUAUUUUGAUUAUGAAACCCAUGCUCUAUAACCUGUAUAUCUUUAUUAAAUGUCCCAUCAAUACCUGCAUCUGCCAAAUCAAACAUGACUGGAUUGUGUAUACUGUUGGUGUUCCAAAAGGUGUUUCUUCUAAUGUAUAAAAAGACUUGAGAGAUCCUUCAGGCUUGUUUUUCCAUCAGUACAUGCAACGAGAUGGACUGGAUGAGUGUGGAAACAGUUUUGCGAACAGAUGUUGCACAGAAUGCAGUGGACCCACUGCUAAAGCUUGUAGUCUAAUUUUUCGGUGCAUGUUCGACCAUACAUGGACCAAAAUUAUGCCAAACCAUGCUUGAACUCUGGUUUGCAUCACUACAACCAGAACCAAAUGCUGCUUCGCAGGCGACAACUUUGUUACCUCUUCUUUGCAUGACUACUAAGGAAGCCCAUCAAAGAGACCGACGUCAAAGUAAUUUCUUAUUCCUCUGUGCUUCUGUUUUUCUGAUGGGGGGUAUAAGGUCUUACUUGGCGAGGUUUGUUUCCCUCUGUUUGCUUUCCACGUAAAGGCAGCCCUGUGAUCUCUUUUUUAAGAUUCUGUUGCACAUUUUUGGCUGUUUGGCGCACCAAGUCACCAUAAAAUAUUCAUAUCAAAUCAUCUCGAAAAUCUAGAGACUGCGACAUUCUCUUGGUUAAUGUCUAUAUCAUUGCAGGCGCACGUUUCCAGGGAAUCUAGGGCCUUUUUUUUCCAUUAAUGCCCAUUUAACUCCCAUCACCAAACAACCGUUCAUUGGGGAAGAGAUUGCAACAUUCCAACUGCCCCUAGGAAUCAAAUCAAGCGAACAAACAUAUCAAUCAGAAGUAGUGUCCUACUUUUUCUGGCCUUCAAUAGCAUCCAAAACCGACAAAUAGUAUGACCGGCCAUACCCACUUUGUGGGUAAUAAAUACUGUGGUCCGAUUGUUUAAAGAAUCUCAAUCCCCCCUAACCCUACAAAUAAGAGUGCAUGAACACUUGCUCUCACCGGACCAGUGAAAUGUACAAACCAAGAUUGCAUAAAAUUCACAAAUAUUUAUACAUAGAGGAUCACCUCAAUCCCUAGAAAGGGCAAGCCACCGUCCAGUCUAAUUGUACAAAAUAUUAGGAACUCCAACCCCACCAACACCCUACCCACAUUUGCUACGAGAUGGUCAGCACAUCCACAGCUCCUGACAAGUCCAUGCUCCCUACCUUGUCACCUGUCGUCUCCUCCACCUUAUGAUUAGCCCUAAUGGCAUUCCCUUCAUCCCCAUCUACUGAUGUGGCAGCAGUCACACAUUCCUCGAAUCUGUAACAACUGAUGAGGUGAUCAUUAGUUAUCCCUGAGGCUUGCAUGAAGGAGUAGAUAACCGUUGGCCCAACACUCCUAAAACCCCUUCGCACCAUGUCUUUGCUUAUAACGUCUGCCCUCGGCGUCUUUACCGGGACUUGACGUGGGUAGCGGAAUCUGCUCACGACAGGCUUAUGGUUCACAAAGCUCCAGCAGUAUCUAUCAAACGAUCCAAACUCCUCUAUGAUCUACACCAGUAGAAUCAAAAGUAAGUGUCAGCAGUAGAAUGAAAAGGACUCCUUGAAACUGGGCUGAUUCCUAUAGCCAAAUGGCACACUAAUGAUGAUAGAACCCUAGUCAGUAUACAUCAUGUUAGUUUCUCGAUAAUUAUCCAAUGACUUCUGCAAUUAAUCAAUGCUCAUAUCCUAGAAGAAAAAUACGCAAACAAAGCAGUGGCGUACACCAAAAUAGUUCCCACUAAUGCAGGCAGGAAUAAUCCCAUGCAUCCAAAUAACUACUUAAUUGGUUGAUACAAUUACAAUGAUAACGAUAGUAAAAAAGGGAAAAAGAAAAGAGAGAGGAAUCAACCUUAAGUAUUUGGCGUGCAUUUUCGAUGAUGGCACGCAGCUUUGGCUCUGAUAGUAGGGAGCUUGCAGUGCUUCCUGGUGUUAUAAGCUUUUUCUCAUUCAAUUUAGAAACAAGCACAGGGUCAAAAUCCCUGAAAACCUCCCUGUAAAAAGGUAUGUCCAAUAAGACAGUAAGAUCAUAUACUUAAAUAGAAAUGCAAAUAGAAAUGAAAAAGGGUCAAGCUAGAGGCAAGGGUUACCUAAAUAUGUGCCUCUUGCUGAGAAUUGCAGGCCAUGUAAGUUCAGCCAAGGCACCUGAUAGUACAAGCAGCUCAAACAGUUUCCUGCAUAUAAUUUUAAAGAUUUUUAAGAAACCGAAGAUUACUUCUUGUUAUCUGACAAUAUAAACUUCUGGCUUUCCAAGCAAAUUGAGAUUAGAGUUGAGAUUGCAUACUUAUCAUCAUGGACUGGUGCUCCCCAUUCUUCAUCAUGGAAGGCAGCAUAACAAGGAUCUGUUAUAACAAAUAAACCAAGAAUAUUUUAAGAACAAAAGCACAAAGCACACUACAGAUGAACAAUGAGAAGAUAGAAUUCACUAUAUCUGACCAGACAAUUGAAAUUAUUUAAGGCUGAGAAAUGGAUGACUUGAAUAGCAUAGGCACUGUCAGUGACUUAUGAGAUAGAAAUGACAUAAAUAUAGUGCAUCAAAGGAAAAGGCAAAUAAAGCAACCAUAACCACCAACAUUAGCAAGGGUUGGCUUAGUGAAUCUUUCCAUCAGACCAUCUAACCCAGAAUCACAUUACCCUAAGCAACGUAGCUCACUUUCUAAUAUAUUGAGACCAUCUAAUCCAUACUUGGUAACAUUGCCUUAAACGAUGCAGCUCCUAUGCUUUCCAAUUUACUGACUUUCCUCUUAGUCUCACCAUUGCCAUCCCAACUUACUCUUAUCACCUUAGAUUGUUUAUUAUCCAACAUUUCAUCUAUACAAUAUUGCUAGCCUUAUUAUGUUCUUAUAAAUUUUUAAAAUAGUUGAAAAAGCAUAAAGCAAUAAAGUUUUACUACACAACACUCAACAUGAUAAUAUCAAUUCGGUUUCCUGCGACAGCCAGCAAAUAAAGAGUAAGAGAUUCUCAUGCAGAAGUAAGAGAUUCUCGGAAUUUCUGGUAAGGACAGCAUAUUCAUCACAGUUCUGUGGUUCAAGUCAUCACUGCAUGUGAGAACCACCAUAUGUUAAAUGAAAAUUCAACUUAAGCAUAGAGUUUACCAAGAAAAUCUAUGUCGACUAAUGGCAGGUAAAAUAAAUCAUAAAAAAAUAAACCUAGAAGAGUGAAGGAAUGUUCGAGAAAACAUUCCAUCUAAAAAACAAAGUAGAAGACAAUCAAAAGUGGGUCCAAGUACUUCCAGUUUAUAAUUCCUCUUCCAUUCUCUUCUACAUAAAUUUAUUGCAACCCUGUUCAUGGAACCAAACCACAUCUGGAAACCUUCUCCACAAGAAUCAACAACUAAAAGCUUCCUCCAUUAGCAAAACUUCAAAGAUUGACCUUGUACAUGAUUUAACACUUAAAACCCAGAAAAUCACAAGCAUUGUAUGAUAUGAGAAAUACAUUCUUCUCACAUGAACAAUAUUCUAGGUGCUCUGGCAUUUUCUUAAUCUUAAUUGCUUUGAAAGCCCAGGGAAUUUCAAAUUAAGGAAAAGUUACUUCAUGCAGACUGCAACUUUCUGAUAAUAGAGGUAUGAUGGUUCACCAAUGCUUCAUCUCUCAUGCACAUGAAGCAAGUCAUAAAGCAUCAUUUCCCGGAUAAAAAAGAAAAAUAGACUUCACCAAAACAGCGUACAAUGGGAAAUGCUGAUAUCUCAAACCAUAAGUCUAUGUAGUAAAGUUUUUUUUUUCAUAACUACUAUAUUAAUGAUAGCAUACAGGUAAUGCAAAAAUAAUAGGAUUAUUAAAUGUCAAAAAACUAACAGGUUAAACUAAAAAAAAAAAGUGGACAAAAUACUAAAAUGCAAUUCUACUGCUCUAGCCACUUAUAGUUUUCUUUUUUAACGUCAAUGAUAGAUGUGACCUGACCAUAUACCAUAGUAUGUAAACUUUCAACCCAACGAGGGUGUCUGACUUUGACAUAAUUUAACCAAAUACUUUGUCCAAAUAUGUUUGAUAGAUAUAGUAGUACUGAUAGAAGGAGAUCUCAGGAAUUACAAAAACUGUAGUGGUAAAUUAUCCAAUGUUUAUAGUAGGGUCCUCAACAAAACACUCUAACUAUACAUCUUGUCAAAUAUUCUGAAAACAAAAUCCAGGAGGUGGUUGCAGGAAGGCCAAUUCCAGUAACAUUUCAUCCCCAGCCUAAAUCAGUGCAAACAUUCACAAAACUCAUCUACAAUGAACUAAAACAUCAGAGAAUACAAACUAGAUGAUACUGCAGUCUGACUUAUCAUGAAGCAGACAAAGGCAUAAAUUACAUAUUAAAACAAAAACUUCUAAUUCUAGCUCAUUUCACAGCACUCUUGCUUUGGAAAAACAGUCAGGUUGAGGUGAAGCAGAAAUAGAUUUUUUUAAUGUAAAAAGGCAAAUCAUGUGAAUUUCUGGUUACUCUCAACUUCUCCCUGGAGAUCCUCUCUCUUGCAAAUUCAGGCCUCACUCCAUGUAAUGAUCAUGUCGAAAGAAAGUGGGGAAAGUAUAACUUACAUUUAGUGUGUGUGUGUGUGUGUGUAAUAUUGUAUGUACAUAUAUGCGUGUGUGCGUAUUGUCAAAUGACCCAAACAGGCUUAUGAUCCUUAGUGAGGAACCUCAACAUGGCUCUAUUUCAUAAAUUUCCAUGAUACAUUCCAAUUCCAUUGAAUAAAUAUCCCUCUGGUGUCAUUGAUUUAAGAGAAUCCAUUUAUCAUCUAUAUUUAUGGAAAGUUAAGAAAUCAUAUCAGAAUCAAGAAAUUGCGAUAAAUAAAAAAGGAAAAAGGAAGGUUUACAAUAAUUUUGAGAUCUUCUAUGUUAGAAAUAUCUUAAUACAACAUCCCUAGAACAUAUAUCAGUUAUCACUUGAACUCAUCCUUGAACAAUAGCAUGAAGAAUUUAGUUUUCAAAAUGAAAUAGAGGAUCAUACCUAUAACCUACAAUUACAAUGUUUUAGGUCUUUCUAAGAAGAUCGUGCUUGAAUAGUUAACAUGAACAAAAAAAAAAAACUACUUGGCAGCAUAGUUAUUGCAGAUACCUAAUCUAAAAGACACAGCCAAGGUCUAUAUAUGCCUGAUGCAUAAACAAAGUGAGAUGGGACACCAAAAGGUUUUCUAUUAUUCAGGAAACACCUCCAUGAGGUAGGGUUGCAUUCAUUUUCUAGAUCUUAUAAAGAAAGAACAUGAUGAUGCAAGAAGGGAAAUGUGGGCCAGAUGCAGUAUGAACAAGAAAAUAACACAAACAAUAAACAACCUCAAAUACCAAAUGCUGAGCACCAACUGAGAGCCAAUAUCCAUUGAAAAACUAAAUCACUAGCCCAUGAAGAGAUUUUACACAUAUUAUUAGGCAAUGAUAAAUAAGUCCAGCUCAUCUGGGGAGAUAGAAUCACUCCACACCUCAACAAACAAGCAGAUAAUCUGGAAGCUGCUAGACUAGAAAUGUUUUAAGUUACUAGCAAAGGAAUCACUUUUCCAAUUGUAAACACAAUGUCUUAGCACAAACAGAAGAAAAAACAUUGAGUGCCUCUUCCAUUUCAUUUCAUGUAUACAGAGAUGUUACAGUGAAAUACUCAAAGAUGCAUACAGUGUUUGAAUUUAUUGGCGUACAGGUAUUAUAAUAAAUUUGGACCAAUUUAUAUUAAAAAAUGGAAAAAUUGGAGAAUAAUUUAUUUUCUAUUUUACUAGAUAACUGUCCUACUCAAAAUGCCAAGCAUUGUUGUUGAGAAAGUUCACCACUGACCUGAAAAAGGGUUGGCCUGACCAUAGCCAGGCUGGCUUGAACGUUGGACAUGUCAGCUAUCAACAAGACAGUGAGCUCAAAUAUACUGCUGAAAGAAACCUAUGCAGAAAGCGCUACUCCUUUAACACCCAAACUUUAAAUGACAGAAAUGCUCCUAAAAUAUAUAAAAAUUACUAAGGUUUCAUUAGGAUAAAAUAUGAGGAAUGACAGGUUCUUGUUUCAGAACAUCAGUCAUCGCUAAAGAAUGUAUGAGCUUAAGCUGCUUAACAAUUUAAUUAUGGAUAUGCGACUUCAGGGUGCGGAUAGACUGAGCUAUGCUGCUUUUCUGAGUCAACCUGGAACUUCUCCCCAGUGCAACCUGGAAGUUCAGGGUGCUUGCUUUCAGGAUAAAUUUCAACCAACAUACUCAAAUUUUGCUGUCAUCACCAUUCUGAAAUCAAUGUGGAAAGACUAUAUCCUAGCUGGCAUGGAUUUUUGAACCAAGAUGGUGUUCAAGGAAUCUGAAGGACUAGAGCUAGCAAAUAUUGUGCAUCGGAACAAAAAGGAUGUCAGAAAAGAGAAGGUGCUCUCAAAUUUGUGCAAUCCAGAGAACUCUUGCAGCAUUUGCAGGUUUUAAUUACCAAAAUCUGCUAGUCCAGCUCCACCACCCUAUCAUUGUUAACGCAUUCAUGAAUAUGCCACCACAUAAAUGCACCUAGAUAUACCUAUAAAAAUAUUAUCAAACGCAUGCCAAAAAUGCUAAUAAAUAACCCAGACACAAGAUGAACUACCUUAAAUUUCCAUAGAUAUGCAGUAUAUUCGAUGCAUAACAAAGACUGUGAGAACAGCUAAAAUCAAGAGAGUAAAAAAAACCACCAAGGAAUUAUGUAAUGAUGCUUCAAGAUCGCAAAAAUGUAAAUGUCAACAUUUGUUUCCACACAGUAUGAAAAUGUUUUGUAGACAUUAAAACGUGAAAUGGUUCUAUGUAAUUCCACAUAACUAUUAUAAUCACAAAAGACUGUGAGAACAGCUAAAAUUAAGAGAGUAAAAGGACCACCAAGGGUUUAUGUAAUGAUGCUUCAAGAUCGCAAAAAAUGUAAAUCGCAGCAUUUGUUUCCACACAGUAUGAAAAAGUUUUGUAGGCAUUAAAUCGUGAAAUGGUUCUAUGUACUUCCACAUAAUUAUUAUAAUUUCAAAAGACAGAUAACACGAGCCACUCAAAGGAGAAAAAGAAUACUUUGUUCUCCCAACAAAAUUAUGUAUUUCACGAUCAGAAAACGAUAAAGAACUCACCAGUAUUUGCUGUCACCCAUGCACACCUCCUCUUUCCCGGCACAAGCUCUGGCGAAGGCAACGAGAAACCAUCAGGAACAAUCUUUUCCAGCUUCGCAGAAAUCUUGUCUGGCUUGGGAAUGCUCUGCCUUCGGCGACUUGUGAGAUUCGGCCUACCAAUCCUUCCUGUGGAGGCCCGGCUGCAGAAGGAAUCAGUGGAAGCAUCCGAGGAGCAAGAAGCAUUGAGCGACAAGUUGGAGCGGAUGAGCAGCUCAUGCCUCCUUAGCACCGAGGAAGCACUAAAAGGUGGUGUUAGAGGUGGUGAAUCAGCUGCUCGAGGGGAAGCCUUUUUCUCCACUGCUGCCCCGACCUCUGCUCUCUCUACCUUCCGCACAGGCUUCAAAGCAGGCUUCCGUGCCAUGCCUGCAGACCUUGCUUUAUUUCCAGCUGGCCCAAGGACUGGCCUCACCUCAUCAUCCUCGACGUUUACGGACCGGACCAUCGGUGCUCCCGACAUUGAAGAGACUGUUCGCUUAUUCUCGGAUCCCAGCUCAAUGCUCACACAAACCUCUUAAUCUCUCAAAUUUUAGCAGGCCUAGGGCUGGAUCCAACGGUCCUAGCUCAAAUUCCUCUCACCGUCCCAACAUUCCCUUUUUUCCAAAAGAAACGCCGAGCAUCUGUCUUCCUUCGAACCAAUCCACGCACGAAAUCAACGGCGAAAAAUCCGAAAUCCAUCUAGUGCUCGAAUCGACACCGAUGAAACCCUAAGCUCCACCUAGAAUAGCAAUUAGGGUUUCGAAGUGCCUCCACUCCCUAUCCGCCGGAGAAACCCUAGAAGAGUGGAGAUUUCAUCCAGCAUUGCCGAAUACGACUCAGAGAACGCACCCAAACUCUCGUCUUCCCAAAUUCCCACCUUCCAAUCUCUCCACGCCUCCGCGAAGCUCUUCCAUUGCAUCAAGAACCGCUCCAAAACCCUAGAAUCCACCGGACGGCGCCAAAAUCGAGCUCCCGAAAACCUGGACAGCGGAAAGAACACUCCGAUCCGAGCAUUCAAGAAGGCGGAGGGAAACCGGAAACAGAGAUCCGGCGAUUCCCGGCGAGAGAGAGGAGUGGGGUGAAGAUGAGUGGGGGUGACAGAGAAAUAUUGUGUCGAUUUUGGGAUUUUAAUUUAAAAAGGAGUGACCGGGACAUCCGAGUCGGAUUAGGUGGACGACCGGCUGUAGCCAGUGUCCCUGUCGGGGAGGCGGUCCUGCCCGAUUCGCGUCGGAUUAAAACGAUUUCUGAAUCUUUUCUCCGUAUUUUCUUAUUGACAUCUUUAAAACUAUGGAUAAAAUACAUUUACGUUUAAUGAUUUAGAAAGCCUACAAUUCUUUUUGAGAUUUCUCUUAUCCAAAACUUUAAUCCAUAUUUUUUAAGAAAAUAUUAGUUAAACCAUUAAUAUUAAAUAUAAUAAAAAAUUAUAAAUAAAUAAAAAUAAUUUUAACUAGUAUAACAACCAUCAAAGAAUAAAAAAAUAUAUACAUCUCUCUUCCACUUAAAAGAUAAUUUAAAUUUUUCACAGAUAAUUUACUAUCAUUAUUAGUUUAACUCGUAUAAAUAUGGAUUUUACAAACUAAGUAUAAUAAACAAGUACUUUAAAUAUUUUUUAAUUUAUUUUUAUUUAUAUUAAAUAUUUUUUUAAAAAAAUAUUUGCAACGGCUACUUACACUACUCUAGUAUGAGUAUAACCAACAAAAUUCAGAGACAAGAAAUGACAAGGCAAUGGAGGUGAUAGGCAAUGGAGGUGAUACUCCUGAUGUAUUCAAAUCACCUUACUGGAAUGCUAUACAGCAAAGAAGACAACCCUAAUUCGUAGCUCUGUUCGUCUCACAUGAUAUCACAACCACAACAGCAUAAUUUUGGCCGAAAAUCCUCUCUCCCAUGCAUGCUCCCUAUCUUUCCCCAUCAGCCUCUUCCCUCUAUGCUUAUAACUUUAAUCUAAUUUUAAUAUAUAAAAUAUUUAAUUAUUAAUAUAUUUAUGAUGUUAUCGUUCAAUUUUCGCUGGCCCUAUGACGAUCUGGAUUUCGAGAUGGUGGUCUCUUCCUCUGCUAUUUUUCAGCUUUAAUUUUUUUCACAAAGAGACCCAAAACCAAAAGGGCCCCAACAAUAAGCCCGAGCCGAGGAAGCACGUGAUGCAUAUGGUUUAGAGGACAUGGUUUGUCUAACCUGUGCGACCCGCAAUUUUUUGGCUUUAUUUAUUUCUCUUUUCUCCUGUGAUAAUUUCCUGAGACCUGGAAGGACAUUGGGACCUGGAUGGCUGAAAUUAAUAUAUAUAUAUUUCUCCAGGUUUUAUUUGUCUUUUGUUAUCAUAUUUUUGUCUGGAUCGAAUCGAAUCAAAUUACCAACGCCAGCUCCAAUUCCUUCUCAAAGACUUCGGAGGAGGAUGCUGCCAGAUUUUCAAGCUGCUAUUUUGCCUGCUAGUCUUCUUGCUAUUGCAGUGCUCCAAGAAUUCAUUAUUUUGUCAUAUGAUUUUUGCUUUUCCCAGUACAAGUCAUAUAGUUCUUUUGACAGUAUCAUUUUCUCUCUUCUCCAAAUACAAUGAAAUUCUCUUGUUACAGUAUAUUUUCUAUGGUGAGAUGAUAAGAAGGCAAUAAUAAUUUUUUCUUUUAGUGCCUCGAAGAUAACUACGCUUCUUCAAUUUUGGAGAAGGUUCUAGGUUCAAAUUUUGGAGGUGCAAUCCAUUAUUUAAGCUUUCUUUUCAAAAAAAAGAAGAAAAAAACAAGUUACUGCAAAGUUAUUUUUCUAACUAAUUUCAUUCGAUAACCCACACUGCUUCAUUGUUCCAUCUAUAGGAUUUUAUGGAUUACAUGUUAGAGCACAAAAAAUAUCAUAAAUUCAAUUAGAGAAGAUUGAAGUAUACGUCGAAAGCUCUAAGCAAUCAUUGAUGAUCACUGCAGCAAUAUUCUAUGGAAGAAGAAACCACAAAGAUGAGAUAAAUCUUCCUCUCCUUCUCUUCUAUACCUAUUUUCUCAAUGGGAUAGAUACCUCCUAUGAACGUAGAGACCUUAAUGUCCCAAGAUUUCUCUACAUAUUGAUAUAUAUAUAGGAGUAGAGUGGGGACCUAGUCUAAUUAGUAAUGCUAAUAGGUGCAGUGCAUCUAUUAUUGAGCUUAUUAAGCAAAUUAGGCCUACACCAAUAUUCGUUACACUACAUGAUUAAAACAAAGGCCUAAAAUAACUAUAUGAUCACAAAUUAAUUAUAAGUUCCUUCAAUAUUUAUUCAGACGACAACUUAGCCCGUACUAUAUAAUAAAUCAAAACAAAAUCAGUCCAUAAUCAAUGAAAACCCAUCCUUAUGAGAAAAUCCGACACCAUUAUCGAAUCCAUCUAAUUUUAACCUAGAAAGAAAGAAACCGGUUCUCAAAAUUUAUACAAUAGACCGAGAACUACUUCUAAGCAAUUACCGGGCCAUUGUGCGCAUGUUCUCCUGAUCCCUUGAGAAUCUGCCAUCACUAUUCUACGAUUUAAUGACCAGAUUGCUUUAAUGCUUUAGAUAUAUGAGUAUUACUUAUUAGCAAAUAAUCAAAGAAUAUAUAAGCUUGAUGAUUGUAUCAUGAAUCUUGGGGCUCCCUCUCAUACUGAAAUUAGCUAAACCAUCUGGAAAUCAAUGCUACAAAUCCUCCCAUAUUUAACUUCUAUCUCCAUCUACUCGGAGGCUGUAAUCAUUUUCUUAUUGUUGUUUAUAUCAAUUGGACAUGUUUAUCUAAUGAGCUACUUAGCCCAAUUCUUUCAAGCUUAUGAUUAAAAAGAAAAAUGAAAACAAAGGAAAAGAUAUGAAGCUUAUGAUGAGAAACUGGCAUCACGGGCGGAAUUCUUUAUGGAUAAUGGAAUGUGAUAUAAGUUCUGAUUUUUUUAGGUGAUGUCCAAAGAUCGGAAAGGCACGUCUGAGCUACCAUGAUAGCAUCCUUCAUGUCAUUCAUACCAACCAGAGUUAUCAAGGAUGAAGGAGCCUAAAGGCAAUAAGUUUUGGGUAAUAUAAUAUGUUUUAGCAGAGGUAUAUUUAAUUUAAGGGGCAGUUUUAUGGCUCCUUUAGACCAUCUGGGAUUUAGAAAGUUGGCUAGGAAUCCUCCUUUAAUUGAAGUUUAGAAGCCUUCUCCAUCAAGAUAGUGGAGUCUUUGAAAGAACGCAAAUGACCAAGGGACCAUAAGCAAGUCUAAUUUCAUUAUGUGUAGACGGAAAUAUAAGACAUAAAAAGGACUUGAGCCAUGCUUUUCAUACAUAAGCAAGUCUAAUUUCAUAUUCUUACAUUUAAGAAAGAUUAAAAAGUGAGAAGUGAAACAAAUGGAUCAGUCCAGAUACGGGAUGGUGGUCUUCAAGAAGUGAAAGAUUAAAACCAGGUGAAGAGAAUGUCGAGUGCAGGUGCCACGAAUAUUAGUUGCAAUGAGAUUGGCUCCGGACUACCGGCUUGCACCCCUCUCUUCAGCAUUUGCACUGGAAAGCAGUCCUACUUUCAAACCCAAGGAUGACAACUUCCACCAUUCAUUCUUCUAAGCACUUGAAAAAUAAAGAAGGCAUUCUAUACUUUGGAGCUAAAAACACUGGAGGCAACAAUAAUUUCAUUAUUGAUAAUUAUAUAGGAAUUAGAAGCUUGUAAAUAUAUGACUCUUAAAACCCAUGCAAAUUAUAUAAAAAAAAAUGAUCCUCCGGAGAUCUAUUUUGUACCGUUGCAUAUUGGAAAUAUACCACUCAAAACAGAGCUUAGUGGUAUACAUUGAUAACAUGCCUUUACGGGGGAGUUCCUUAAUCAACACAAUUUCUAUGUGGCAUUAUUAUGUUAGCAUAAUCUUUGGCAACGUAAACUCAAUCAUGUAGCACCUGCGUUAUAGAAUUUUCUCGCCUUCUUCUUCUUUUUCUUCUUCUUCUUCUUCCUCAAAAGAAAAGAUAUAAGACUAGUAUUGCUACCAUCAGGACACCAGCCCUUUAUAUAUGUUGUAAAAAGGCACAACAUUGUUUUUAAAAUCAUCCAUGUCAUUUAAAACUUAUGAAUCCACUUAGUUUAAUAGUUGAGCCAUGAUUUUAGAUUUUUUUAACAAAUAUAUUUUUAUAUUAAUUAUUUAAAUUAUUUUGGAAAUUAGUCGGUGAAAAUUAUAAGAAUUAGAUUGAUAGGUUAGGCUAGAAUUAUUAGAUAUAGAAUCUUGCAAAAAAUUGACUAGAUUAUAACAAAUGAAUUAUUCGAAAUGGCUCAUGGACGGAAUUGAGUCGAAUGGUCUUGAUCCCAUCAGGUCGGGCACGAGUCAAAAUUCUUGAUGUUGCUGUAUUUGUUUUGACCGAUCCAUCGCCUCUCCACGUACACUCACUGGCACGUAGAUACCAAGAAAGUGGGACCCGUCGGCGACAGAGGGUGUGGCGUGGGGUCUUUGGACGGGUGGGGAGUCGUCUUAUGCUAAAGGAGCCAGCGAGGAUCCAGGCUGGACGAUGAUGACGAGGCCAAGCGCGCGCUCGUAAGUCGCAAUUAAAAAACCUCUCUCGGAGAGAAAGAUUGCAUCUUGCGUGCGGAUCUAGCCGUUGGAUACCAAGCCUCGAUGCUUUCGAUCACUUAAUUAAAUAGCGGAGCCCCCACGCUUGCUACGAUGGCCGCUGCCGUCGCCGCGACUGCUGCCGCUGUCCUGGCAUCGCGUCUUUCGACUCUUUCCCCCUCUUCCUCUUAUCAUUUCUCCUCCUCGAUCUACUUCGCCGGCCUCCGUCGGCCUCUCUCAUUCUCCUUCCGCCGCCGCUCCGGCCAAUCCUUUCGCAUGGGGCACGUCACAGCCGCCACUCGCGCCACUCUGGGCCUCACGAAGCCCGCUGUCGUUGAGAUCCCGCAGGUAUUCUCCUUCUCUCGUUCUUGCUCUCUAUUUCUUGGCCUUUCCGUUCGCUUAGUUUUAUUGUUCCUUGGAUUGCGGUGUUGGAAGAUACUUGUUUGAUGAAAUUACUCGAAGACGGGGUUUUUGGAUUUCUGUGAAAAUAUGAGGCUCUUUUAUUAUAAAGUUUUCAAUUUUUUUUUGGAUCUUGAACCCGGUAUCUGGAUAGGCUACUGAAUUCUUUAUCAUUUCUCUUUUAUGCAUGCGUCCUUUGCUCUGGAUCUCACCCUGAAUUCAGCUACUUCUUGAUUAUCUAAUCACAUGUAUAUGUCUUCUCUCUAGAACUGGAUUUUGGGUUCUAUAUGAGACGGCAUUUUUUUAUCCUUUGUUUUUUUCCUUGUUUUAAAAAUUUAUAUUUGUCUACAUCUAUAUAUCCAUGUAUCUAUGUAUAUAUAUAUAUGUGAAUAUUCGAUAAUGGCAACUCCUAGAAUUUCAAGAAUCCAUCCCCACCCUCGCGAGAGAGAUGAUAUUGAUCAUAGAAUGAGGAAAGGGGAAACUGAAAGUGAAGGUCAUCUCUGCCCUAAUCAAGAUCGAGGAUCCGUUGUUUGCGUGCUAUUUUGCCAUCCUUAGGGAAAAAGUUAACUUCUUGUUAUACUUCUUAUUACACUGAUAACUGCACUUUUUUUCUUGUCCGUUUAUUGCCUAAGCCCUUUGUUGCCCGCUCCACGAUCUUCAGGAUUGGAGAUGCCAAACUUGAGUGUGGUUUUCUUAUUUGUGGUUGGUUUUGGUGUGAUCUCCAUGGGUCAACUGAACGUAGAUGCUGAUCUAGAGUGUGCGUUUUUUUCCUUAAUGUGGUUGGCUAUAGUGGGUGGUACUCGUCUCUCUCUCUCUCUCUUGGGUUGAUCAACCUGUUUCUGGUGCAGUGAUACAUUCUUAUCUUAACUAAUAGUGGUUAUCGAUUUUGUUCCUUGAACAUGUGGAAGAUUGGGCAAAACCCGUCAUUUAGGGCCUGGUUGGAUGUUUCCGUAUGUUAUCUCUGCCACAACUCUAUAUGGAUGAUAGGUAAUGAAGGGAAGGAGGCAGGAGGAAGAGUAGAGGGAAUAUGAACAUCCUGUGUUUGCGCAAUCCCAAAAUUUGUAGCAUAUUGGAAAUCAUCUUUUCAUCCUGGAGGAUUAAUUGCUUUCCUCGCUUUUAUCUUUUUCUUUACCCUCGUAAUAUUUGCUUCUGCUAAGUCUUUAAAAAUCCAUCAGUUGGAGUACAAGGUGGAACAACAAGAUUGGGGAGAAUCUUUUAGGAAACGUGUGUGAGAGAUUUGAAUCAUAUUUGGUUAGGUAUUUGAACCUUGAAAUGACAACAUGAGCAAGUUUAGGAAUGUCGGGAGGCUUGGCCUGGUUUUCACGGGUUUGAAACAAGGAAUAGCGUUUCAACAUGUAGGGUAAGGCUGCGUACAGCUGACUCUCUCCAAAUUCCUCUCGUGCAACAGGCUGCCCUUUUUAAUAGAAGCAAAUAUUACCUAUUUGGUGCUCUAGGGUUUGCUGAUGAUUAAAAAACAUCAGAUCCUUGCCAUCAGAUGAGGACAACUUAAGUCAAACGACAUGUUGAUAGGAUGGACCUUCAACAAUAAAUCAAAGAGCCUGCUAUUGGUUCCAAUCUACUUGUCUCCUAACCUGCUUAUUACUAAACGGCUCCUCUUGAUGUGGGUUAUGGAAGUGGUUUAUUGAUCAUAUAUUUUGUCUAACAAAAUGGCCCUAUUGCAAAUUUUAGCAACGAAAUAUUGUUGCUUUUGUUUUUUAUGAUGAUUUUAUCUGUUCUCUAAUUAAUGCACAUGUUUUUUUUAAAAGGAAAAAUGGUCUAUGUCUAAUAUAUAUGCAGCAGAAUGCUUUCUUUUUAUCUUUGGACUUAUUUUGAUUUUUUUUUUUAAAAAGCAAAUUUGUAUUAUGGGGUUCCUGGUGUUAUAUGGGUUAUUUCAAGUAUUGUGUUCAUAUGUUUCUCUAAGUUUUCACAACAAAUUUCCAUCAUCUAGACAUUUACAAUAUAUAUGGUUUAAACUUCCCUCAAUUAAAGAAGUUUCACAUUGUUUCCUCAAUCUCUUCUUUUGUAGAUUACAUUCGCCGCUAAGGAGAUUGACUUUGCAGAAUGGAAAGGAGACAUGCUUGCUGUUGCUGUCUCAGAGAAAGACAUGUCAAAGGACUCUAAUUCGAAAUUUGAGAACUCAAUCUUGAAAAGGCUAGAUGAGAAGCUUGGUGGUCUUUUGGCGGAAGCUUCAAUUGAGGAGGAUUUCACUGGAAAAGCUGGGCAGUCUACAGUUCUGAGGUUACCUGGUUUGGGUUUCAAAAGGGUAGGUCUAGUUGGGCUUGGGCAAUGUUCUCCUCCAUCCACCACAACUGCAUAUCGAGGCAUUGGCGAGGCUGUUGCGGCAGUUGCAAAGUCUGCCCAAGCAAGCAAUGCUGCUGUUGUUCUUGCAUCUUCCAAUGGGAUUUCAGAGGAGUUCAAGCUCAAUACCGCUUCAGCAAUUGCAUCAGGUAGCAUUUCUGUUUUCUCAAAUUAUAACAUCAAACUUCUCACAAAAUUCUCUUUUGUAAGAACUUUGUGGCAGCGCUAUGAAUUAUGAAUACAAGAAAAACAUUACUGCAUAUUACUGGAAUGAAUUUUUGGAUCACCUUUAACUUUUCAUUGGAUAUUGUUUGUAGGAACCAUGCUAGGAGUGUAUGAAGACAACAGAUUUAAGUCUGAUUCAAAAAAGACACACCUUAAAGCAGUGGACAUUAUUGGUUUGGGUUCUGGACCAGAGCUGGACAGGAAACUUAAGUAUGCAAGUGAUGUUUGCUCUGGAGUGAUUUUUGGAAAAGAGCUUGUAAAUGCACCAGCCAAUGUUCUUACCCCUGGUUCGUUAGAGUUCAUGUUUUAUCUAUUCAGACUUUUUUUGAAUCCUAUCUCCUUAGUGUGUUUUUUUUUGUAUCGUGAUAUAAAAUAUUUGAAUAUUCUUAAAUGACUUUUCUUGUCUUUCAGGUGUACUGGCAGAAGAAGCUUCAAAAGUUGCCUCAUCAUACAGAGAUGUUCUCACGGCAACAAUAUUCGAUGCAGAGCUGUGCAAAGAAUUGAAGAUGGGUUCAUAUUUAGGUGUUGCUGCUGCAUCUUCAAACCCUCCUCAUUUCAUCCAUUUAUGCUAUAAACCUCCAGAUGGUGAUGCGAAAAGAAAGCUGGCGAUUGUUGGGAAGGGUUUAACAUUUGACAGGUAAAUGUUUUCUUUGUAGGGGGUGAUACACUUCUUACUGAUCUCCAUUCUGAAAUUUGAACUGAAAAAUCUCCCAUUGACUUAUUUGGUUCUUCUUACCACCUAAUUUUGUUCAAAUACCAAUUUCUUAUACGUAUAAUCUGUCUAGGCCAUGGCUAAUUAUCAAUAUAUUUGGCCAUUACAUGUUGGACUUGGUACCAGAACAUUGGAAAGGGAAAUAAAUGAUAUGGAGCCACUGAAUGUUUAUUUCUUUUUUGUUCUUGCAGUGGUGGUUACAACAUAAAGACUGGGCCAGGCUGUUCCAUCGAGCUAAUGAAAUUUGAUAUGGGAGGUUCUGCAGCUGCUUUUGGUGCAGCAAAAGCCAUAGCUCAGAUUAAACCUCCUGGAGUGGAGGUAUUUGUUUUUUGAAACACUUUCGUGGAAGGGAAUGGUGCCCUCAAGAUACAUCGUUUCCUGAGAUUAGUAGGCAGCCAACAUUUUAAAUGUUUUUUCCUUUUCCAGGUUCAUUUUAUAGUUGCUGCGUGUGAAAAUAUGAUUAGUGGCACAGGCAUGAGGCCAGGUGACAUAGUCACAGCUUCUAAUGGAAAGACAAUCGAGGUAUAAUUCUUUGUUCCUUAAAGCAAAGAGAUGCUUAAGAUUUGCAUCUACAGGCAUUUGACCGAAUCUACAUGUGCUGGAUUUUUCAAUAAGGUUACCCGGAUUCUAUUGUACAUGGAACUUAUAGAAUGUCAAUACAUUUCUAAGACUAAGACCAUGACACUCUUGAGAAACCCAGAAAUGUUGUCUCCUGUGUAUGUUAAUCAGGAUUGUCAGGACUUGGUACAUUUUUUGAAUGUCAUGUGAAAAGAUAUUUCAGCUAGUUAGGACGCCUUAACUCAUAACAAAUUUGAGUUCUAAAUAAUUUUAGCUUAAAGUGUCAACACAUUUCUAGUGAAGUGUCGUACCUUCUCAUUUUCAUCAACAUAAUGAUGUGAAAUCCUAGUUCUUUGGUAGGAAAUGGUGUUCUAGUUAACUUAGCCUGGAUCAGCUUGUCUUAAUAUCUUUGGACAUUUAUCCCAUUCAUAUUUCUAUAGUAUGGUACUAUCCUUGUAUCAGGUCUUUUGGAACACCUAGAUUACUGGCACCUGUGCGAAACGAUUAGGUAACACUGGUGGUCAGUGGACUGUAAUGAGGAUGACUAAUUAUUAGUAACUCUUUUAACAUAUUUGCAUUUGAACUUUCAAAACUGUUAUUACUAAAAAGAAGGAAAAAAAAACCAAGGAAUCUGAGUGUAUUAACAUUGCCAAAAAAACACAUAAUUAGGGGACUUCAUUAUUCAUGUGGGCCUCUCCUGUUUUAUGUAGAUUAAGCAUCUUUAUUGCUUAUAAAUUUUAUGCUAAACCCUCAUAUAUCUCAACCCUUUCUAUCCCUGUUUCAGGUCAACAAUACUGAUGCUGAGGGGAGGCUGACGCUUGCAGAUGCUUUGGUCUAUGCUUGUAACCAAGGUGUGGAAAAGGUAUCGACAUCUUACGUAGUUACUAUAUCAUUGCUAUGAAAGUGUUUAUUCUCUUUAGCUUCUUGAACAUUGAACUGGUUAUUUACCGGCUGGUAUCUAUUGAUUAUUUUUUUACUAUUCAUUUUAGAUAUUGCUAUGCAUGUUGCUUAAACCCAUAAAAUGGAUGCUUUCCAUGGUGUUUGAACAUUUGGAAUGUCAAAGAUGAAAUACUCCACCUAUCAUAGUUUUUGUAGAACCUGCGAGACCAAAUGAACAAUUAUGGUUGCAUUCAAUGGUAGAAUUUAUAUCAUAAUAAUUCUAAUUCGAUCAUUUUUUAUAUUUAAAUAUGUAAAAACUAAGUCUGUGUUUGGCAUCUGUCACUUUUCUUUUAAAAAAAAAUUGAAAACGGGAAAUCUGUUUCUAUUUUUUUCUAAAUUUUUACUAUAGAAACUUAUUUGGUAGUUACUGUUAUUGUUUUAUUUUCACAACAAAAAAUAGGAAAAAUGUUGGAUAAACCAAAAUAGGAAAUCUCUUUGCAAUACUUUUCCCACAGUAGAUUCUAGGCAUGCAGUUGCCGACGAUCAUCAGGUGGAGGAUAUACACUAUGAACUGUAGUACUUAUUUCACAUCAUCCAUCCCAUGGAUACCCGCCGAAUGAACGCUAGCCAAGGGAGCGUAGCCCGUUGACGUUUACAUACUUCAUGGUCCCUCCACCACCAUGAUGAGGGACGUUGUUGUUGACAACGUCAUUGUUUUCAUCAUUGACAGAGAGGCCAGUGUUGAUGGGAGGGACGGUGGGGUGGAAGAGGCGGGAGGGAGGGAAAAGAGAGGCGAUGAGGUUGUAGUUGCUGAGGGCAGAAAUAAGUCAUUAGAGCUGAGACUUGAUUUGAUUUCAUGACUCAAAAGUUAUUUUAAAAAAUAGUGAAAGUAAAAAUUUUCACUUCCACAUUUUUUCCAUAAAUAUAGAAGUUACUAUUAAAGAUAAAAAAUAAUAAUAAGGGAACCAAACAUCUUUGUUGCCUCGGAUUUUGUGUUUUCACUUUUAAAAAUAGAAAACCGGGAAAAAGUGAUACCAAACAUUUUGUAUGAAUCUUGCCCGCCAAAAUAUAACUUAUGUCAAUAGAAAUUAUAAGCGUCAAACUACCACGCUAAGUGAUGGAGUUCGUAAGGAGGGUGGAUGCUGAGAAUUUCCUAUAGAGGUGGUAUGGUGGCUUAUUUUUUAUGAAGCAUAUUUCACUGGUGUAGAUGCAAUUCUGCUGAUGCCUUUACAACUGUUGCAUGCAGGUAGUUGAUCUGGCAACACUAACUGGUGCUUGUAGAGUUGCCCUUGGGCCCAGUAUUGCAGGUAAAAUGCAUUGACAAACAUAAUUAUCCACAUACUCAAAUUGUUGUUUCCUUCAGAAGCUAUCUAGUUCAAAUUUUUAUAUAAUAACUGCCAUUAAACAAUGGGGCAAAAUUGUAACCUUGAUUUACAAAUUCCAUGGUAGAUAGUACAAAGAGAGGAUAAAAGAGCAAGUGAUAUGGAGAAGCAUUUAUUUUUCAGUACUACUAGAACAGCCAGCAACUUGCUGGAAACCUUGUACUAAAACAUCUUAUUUCAGGACAGAGACCUAUGUUGUAUGCCUGUUUGCCGGCUUUUUUCUUGCUGCAACAUAUUGCUUCUUCAAUAACAUGCCUUAAGUUUAUGCCUAGUUUUUCAGGUUGCAAAUAUGUAAGUGAGAGGGGCGACAUGUAUGUUGUCCAUCUGGAAGUAAGCUGCUUACCAGUGGUUUUUAGGAAUCUCUGAAAUUGCAAUCCUACUAAUUUGAAGUUAAAAUUAUGAGAAAAGGGAUUGCUUUGAGGAAUACAGCAUUGCCCUUCAAUGAAGGAUUUAUUGACCUCAAAUGGUAGGAAUAGGCUUGUGGUUUAUGGUUGGUUUUGUUUAUCUAUUAUGCUACAGCAUACCUUUUGUUUGGGUGAUUGGCAAACUAGGGUAUGAGAGAAGAAACUUGCCUUAAGCUUCUUUUCUAAAUAUCUCCUUGAUAGCCAAUGAGCAUAUUGGUCAGAAAUAUACUCAUGUUGAGCUGCUGAUUGUCAUGAUCUUCUUAAUAACAAGGUCACCUUAUUUUCACAGGAUUUUUCACACCUAGCGAUGACCUAGCAAAGGAGAUUGUUGCAGCUUCAGAGAUCACAGGGGAAAAGUUUUGGAGGAUGCCAUUGGAGGAAAGCUAUUGGGAGUCAAUGAAAUCAGGCGUGGCUGAUAUGGUAAACACUGGAGGUCGUCAAGGCGGUGCCAUCACAGCUGCACUUUUCUUGAAACAGGUCCAGAUUGAAUCAUUUUUCUUUAUGCUGUCCUAUCUCUUCCUUAGUAUGAUAGGAGCAACUCGUUAUUACUUGACCAUAUCAUCAAACCAUGUUUAUCUAGGAGAUGUUUAAUUCGAAGCCAAUCACGAUAUUUGUGUUCUUACGCUAAUCCUGAAAAGCUGAAUUAUGACACUGCAGAAACUAGAUUUUUAAACGACACUGAAGAAAAUAACCUUAUCACUUAAAUGUAGAUUUCAAAGUUAUUGCUUGAAGUAGAUUUUCUGAAUAUUGUGGUAUUUCCUACCCUUUUAAUAUCUCCAACUGUUAUAGCAUGUGCUGAUUGUUAGAAUGCCAAAACUAAAGAAUUAAAGAUGUCAAAGAAUGGAAUAAAACAAGAAGUGGGAUAUACUUAUAGCUGAAUCAGUUGCUAUAUUAUGCUUUGUGGUUUCCUUUGAAGCAACCAAUGGAAAUCUCAAACUGUCUGAGUCGAUAGAAGAAAAUAUUACUCUGAUGAAAGUACAAGCCUCUAAAGACUAUUCUGGAAGGAGGCAUAGUUUCGGAUGCUUAUGUCUUAAUUGAUUGAGUAUACUUUAUUAAAUUAGUUUUUUUAUGUCUUACAAGCUAGAAAGUGAUUAUAUAAUCACGAAACUAACUGAAAUUCUCCUUGCAGUUUGUUGACGAGAAGGUCCAGUGGCUGCAUAUAGACAUGGCAGGGCCUGUAUGGAAUGAUAAGAAACGUGCUGCAACAGGGUUCGGAGUGUCCACUUUGGUCGAAUGGGUUCUGAAGAACUCCUCUUAAGUUGAGUUUUCGAAUAGGAGUGGUGCAAGAUCUUGUCUUACCGAUAAGAUAACUGUAGUUACCUAAAAAAUAUUGUGAUAUUGAAAAGCAUCGACGAGCCUCAGUGCUUUUUUCUGAGCUGCGUUAAAUUAAUAGUAAGCAUUUUAAUCCUGAUUAUCUUUACCUUUUCAUUGCUUUGAAAGCUAGAACAAAUGGAUACCUCGUCUGCCUACACUUUUUAGCUGUUUAUUGGUGAUUCUACAAAACGAUGGAUCAACUCAUCUAUUAUCCUGAGUGCUCGGGGCUUCUAGUUUGGCAACAAAUUAAUUAGCCGCCUCAUUUUGCCUGCGCUUUCUUGAGUAGUUGAGUUAAUAAGAUUGGUGAUCGUCAUAUGUUUGUGUUUAAGGUCAUUAACCCAAGGAAACAAACUUGUUUCUAGGAUUAAGUUGGAGGCAUGCAUACAAUCUUUAGAGGGAUAAUAAUAUGAUAUGAUAUGAUAUGAUAUAAUAUAGCAUUAUAUUAUUAUAUUAUAAUAAUAAUAUAAAAUUAUAUUGUAUUGUAUUGUAUUAUAUUUAUAAUAUAAUAAUAUAAUUAUGAGAUUUAUUCAUAAGUAUUUUGGUCAUUAUGAAAAUUUUAUUAAAGCCAAAAUAGCUUUAUUAUGGUGAAAUCAAAAUAGUUUUUAGAUUUUUUAUCAAAUACCACUAUACUAUGCAAAAAUAUUUUUGGAUGACUUGAAAGUGUUUUUUUUUUUUCAUCUUCUCUCCGUUGAUCAUAGGUAAAAUUUCUUUAAAGAGCUCCACUUCAUUAAAAGGAAUCCUUGUUCGGAUCACCAUGUAUACAGUGAUGAAAAUUGGAAUUUUGAAAUGAAGAAGCAAAGAAAGCUAAUCUUUUGUCACUCUUCUCUUUCAGAAAGCAAUAUAGCAUCAUCUUGUCCUUAACGAUAAUAUAUAUUGUCGACUGACCAAAAUUCAAUUAUCAUUUUCCUCCCCGUUUCUGCUCCUCUCUUUUAUAGUUCUCCUGUUGUUUCUCCGGAAUCCAACUAGAGUAGCGCCGUACUACUAUUUGCAAUACACACCUCUUGAUAAGUUAAAUCAGAUCUGACAAUGUAAUUGAUACACACCUGUUAUGUUAUCAAGACAGGUAUUGUAUUGAUCCAUAUCUCAUAUCAAAAUAUUCUAAAUUAUUAUUUUGCUAAUACAUGUACUUGUCAAAAUAGUACAACGAUAUGCCGGUCUGAAUUGGAUGGUACAGAAUGUACUUUACCGAUAAAUUCCGCACCGUACCAUAAUGUAUCGACAAUGUACUAGUAUGACAUCAAUAUGUGUCUGAUAUCAAGAUGAUGAAUCUUUUGCUCUUCAUGUUUUAUUCGAUACGCACCUCAAAUUGAGCUUCUAGUCCUAUCUUGCAUACUUGCUCGAGGACUCUUUGACAUCAUUGGAAUUAUAACUAAUGAUCAUCAAAGUAGCGCGCAUCUUAAACUUGCGAACUAGGGCUGCAAAUGGGUCGAUCCGACUCGUGUAAGACCCGACCCGACCCGAAUUUUAGGACUCGCGGAGUCGGGUCGGGUCCUAAAUUUAGACCCGUUCUAUUUUUUGGAUCGGGUCGGGUUCACCCAAUCUCGAUUCGGACCCGAUCCGACCCAUUUUUUUGCUUGAUGUUAUUUACUAUUGUAUAGUGAAAUUUUGAAUAUAAAAAUAUAUAGACCCAUAUCUGGAUCCGACCCGAUCCGAAUGAUCCGUCGGAUUAAAAUUUAUAGGCAAGGGCCCGAUCCGACCAAACUUAAUUUUUAAUCGGAUCGGAUCUAGGUCCAAAAUUAAGACCCCAACAAAAAAUCGGAUCGAAUCGAGAUCUCUGAUCCUAUCCUGCCCUAUUGCGAACCGGCUGCCACUUUUGAAUCCACAGGGUCGGCGCGAUUUGGCUCAUAAAACAAACCGAAGCGGGCUGAUCUGUGAGCGUGGGCGGCGGGGGCGUUGCGAGGAAGGCUCUGAAGAGAACGGCGGGGCGAGAGGAGCGAACGAAGUGAGAGGGUAGAGAAACGGAGUCCUGUAGGUAACCGUACUUCGUAUCUAUUUAUUUUUUUGAAAAUGGUGUGUCUUUUUGGGUUUGGGGUUCGGAAGCUCGGGUAGCGGUUUUUAUUGCUGGUUUUGACAUUAUCAACUCUUGGAAGAAUUAGGAAUUGAAUUGUUUGAUAUAGAUUCUUGCUUUUGUUUAAUCGAUUUGCGUAAAGUUUUCCGCUAGAAUUUUGGUUGGUUCAUCUUUAUUAUGCAGCGGUGCUUCUUUUGUUUCAUUUGUUCUUGUUUUUAUCCGACUCCAUCAAAGCCGCGCACACUAAAUUGAUAUUUCAGAAUUUUAGUUUUGUUAAAUUGAUUUUAGAGUCUGUUUGAUUUGUAAAGGACUCUGGUAGGAGCUGCUUGUAGUCUAAUGGUGGGUGGGUUCUGUUUGAUUCUUACUCGGGGUUCAUGAGAAAUGGUAAAACCCAUUUGGUAGCAACUUUUGGGCGAGUUGUUUGGGGAUUGCAUACAUGAUCAGCCUUGUGCUCUGUGUUAGUUAGAGAGUCAAAUAGGAUUAAUAUUCUAUUGCAGUUGGAUGUAAAUUCUUGCAAGUGCAUGGCUAAAUCAAUAUGCUAGAUUGAAUGCUAUAGAAUACAUAUGUGAUUAAUAUGCAUGCUCCACCUAAUGUGAUGUCUUGCUUUUAUUUGGGUGAUCUUUAACAUCUGAUCGAAUGCACUAAACUUUAACAUCAGCUCUGAAGUUUCAUGAUUGAAGCAAAAUUAACAACUUUUCAAGGAAUUAGAUGUUUCAAAAGCAUCAGUGUGUUUUAUGGCGGAGAGAGAGAAUCAAAGGAUUUAAAUAUAGCCAUGGUGCUUUCUAGGCUUUGUUCGAGUAUAAUUUGACAUUAAUAGGAAUGAAGAGACUCUUAUUUGUGGGUUCUCUUCAAUAUCAGAUCACUAGUUGAGGAGAGGGGGAGUCUGAGUCAAGGAUUGGUUUGGAUGACUAGCUUGAUGGAGUUGUCUUUGGGAUUAUCAAUGAUGUUGUUGUCAUUCUUAAACAGAGAUAUUCAAGAGUUUUGGUUUGUAUUCAACUACAAUUGUGUAAAGCAAUGUGAAAGUUUUUGCAGUACUUGUUACUCAAUUAUAAAGUGAUUGAUUGGAAGGACAGAGUAAUGGAAAUAUGAUGCAAAAGCUUUUAAAAAGAUUUCACUAGAUUCCACCUUUCUCAGAAGCAAGAGAAAAAUCCUAAUCCGUAAACAAUUUAGCAUCUUUAAUAGUGUGGACCAGACACCAGUUUACUAUAGUGACCCUAGUUAAAUAUGGUAGAUUUGAAUUGAAUAGUAUUAUAAGAAUAUGGUAAAUUGUAUGCCUGACAUAUACUAUGAAGGGGCUAUUUGGAGUCUUGUAAGUAGAGACGUAUGCAACUCAAGUUGUAGGUUCAGGCCAGCCCAGUUUGGGUCUGCCUGCUCCUCUGCCGCCUCCCAACACCCCCACCCCUCCGUUAUGCUGCCAUAUGCCACCUCUAGCCCCCCCAGUCCCCACCGAACCCCACUUCACCACUUCAUCCUAUCCACACUCCUCAAGGCCUACACUGCCACCUACUUUCUCCCCAUGGACGCUCAGGUCUAUGCCUAGGCCCUGGCCGCUGGUAGCUUCAACGCUAACCUCUUCAUCUAUGACACCCUCAUCUUAAUGUAUGCCUCUCUUUUCCCCAAAUAAGAAGUGUGCUUCCUUGUAAGUCCACUACUGCAACUUAAGUUACAGCACAACUUGAGUUGCAGUGACUUUAACUAUUGGGCUCUAAACAACCUCUAAGUUGUAAAUCAGUUGAUACACUGUCAGUUUUCUGUUUAGUAUUUUGUCAAACUAUAAGAUAUGCAAUACAGAUGAUCAAAAAAGAAGGCUGUAGUAAUUGCUGAUAGCUCUCCUAUGGGGUGGUGGUGAUUUAGAUGAAUUUCACCUUUUAGUGAGAUUGUCAUUGUUUUAACUUUUGAAAUAUUUGUUAUACCAGUUUUGCUUUGUCUAACCUUUUUGGUUAGAGACAUUACCCUUUUCAGAGGAAGCUGCCCUGGAUAGGAAUUUGACAAAGUAAAGCCAUAUACGUGACCUGAUAUUCACCUCUUUUCUGAUUGCAAAAGGCUGUUUGAAUUUGAACAAACUUGUUAGUGGUAUGUUUAACUCUUUUCUAUUAUUUUAAAAUUAGGCUAUGUUUAUUCCUGAUUUCGAAGUAUUGAUUUGGAAGCAAAGGACAUAUUACAACCGCUUAGGCAAACUUUUGUUCUUAGAGCAUAAUGAUAUACUCCUGCCUCCAUUUGGAAAUUUGGCUGUUUUCUUUUCUUCUUUUCUUCUUUUUUUGGUGCAUGCGUGUGCACGCGCGGGCAUAUGUGUAUGUGUGUGUGUAAAUAAAGAUUUUCCCAUGAACAGAUAUAGUGCCGUUACCUUGCUUCUUUUUUGGGUGAAACAAGGUAACAAGUGAUGCAAACUAUAUUUUGUGUUUCCUUGUUUCAUUUAACUUGUAACAAGUGAUGCAAAAUAUAUUUUGCAUUUCCUUGUUUCAUUGAACCCUAUUCCAGUCUUUUAACCAAGCUAAUUGUCACGUUCUUUUCAUGAUUCCUUCUAAUUCAUUUUAAAAUUGCUAGAAAGGGUUUGCUACAAUACCGAAUAUUUCCCAAUAACAAAGAACGAAACAUAGGCAAGUAGAUAGCCAUAACUGCAGCAUAGGUAGUUCUGCAACACAUACAGAGAGCAUGCAGCACCAUAUUGCAGGGUUGAUAGAAAUCUGUUGUCAUGCUUUUGAACUUCUAAUCAGACAGGUUGACACCUGAGGGCAUAUUACAAAUUUUUAUCUGAAGCAUGCAAAUGUCAUGAACGCAAUAACUAAUUAUAUGUAUUUUUGAUGGUUGACAUUUCUCUGUCUUAUUUAGCUAUAUUAGCAUGGUAUGACUCCAGAUGGAACUGUGCGUUUAAGCUAUAGAAGUCUAACAAAAACCUUCCUCUUUUUGAUGGUUGCAGGUACUAUUUUUCUUGUAGAAAUUUGCUAAAUGGGUCAUGCAGAUGUUAGGAUGCCGUUGCAAUCAAAAUCACUAGAACCUCCAGCUACUAGCCAAAAUUUGGCUGCAAGAGGUCCACCACCUGAUUCAAAUCCAAAGAAGAUCUGCUGUGCCUGCCCGGAAACAAAGAGGCUGAGAGAUGAAUGCAUUGUGCAGCAUGGCGAGGCUGCAUGUGAAAAAUGGAUUCAAGCUCAUUUACAGUGCCUUCGUGCUGAGGGAUUCAACAUCUGAUGCUUCAUAUAACGGUUGGGGUUGGUAGUCUUUCAUUUCUGCGAUUUAGGCACCAGAUACUUUUUAUACUGAGUUUUAACAUAACUGACUUCCCAUGAAGAUUCAUGAAGAAAGAUGGUCAAAGAUUUAAGCACUAAAUACUUUUUAUACCGAGUUUAACGUCCCUGAUCUUCCCAUUGCGAUUCAUGAAUAAAGAUGGACAAAUGUUCUCGAGUGCCGUGUCCAGAAGAUAUUUCAUUACUAUUUUGCUCUCCUCAAGUUACUAAAUUUUUGUUUUAUAGAAAGAUAAACAAACUUUUGACAUAUCAGAGUUUAACCUUACAAGUUAGUUUAACUUACAGAUGUCCUCGGUGCCUUUUCUCUUUGACUGGAGUAGGAUUUGUCAGGGUACGAGGCCUGUUUAGAAUACAGUGCGGUAGUAUUUGGGGAAAAUAAUGCAGGACUUUUCUUGGUACCCUAAUAUUGAUGGGAUGUUGCAAACUACUUGGGAGCUUCAGUGUCAGGUUGCUCAUAGAUUGACAGGAUACUUGAUGUAGAGGCGUUCUGUCAGCUUUGGUGAAAGGUUUGUAGGAUAGCCCCUCCAUGUGAUGUCAUGAUGGUGGGAUAAGAUGAGCUUCCUGAUCCUUCUGCUCCCAUGUUCUGUUGCUACUCUAAUGAUGGAGAUAUUGUGCAAAUACUCAAGCCACUUAUUCAUAUGGUACCUGCAAUGUUCCUAAGAUUUUUUGGACUAAUGCAGAUUUGGUGUUGGUUUACUAGUUUCUUUUUUCCAGACUUUUGAUGAUAUAUGCUUGUUAUUGCACUAGCAAGUCUGAUAUACCUGAAUUAUUUCUCAGUAAAUAAGAUUUUUUUAGCAACUGAGGAUGUCUACCAAAAAGAUUCAUAAAAAUUCUUGUCCUUUAUCACCACCAAAAAAAAAAAAGAUUCACAAAAACACUGUAGAUGCUAUACUUACACAGUUGGCCCUUACAGAUCUAACCAUAUAUCCAUGAAUUUUUUAUUGAGUUUGAUGGCAGCUACCACAAAAUUCUGUGAUGUUGUGUUGAGUUACUUUCUAUUGUAUACGUGCAACAUCCCCCAUGCAAUAACAAUAGAGUUGUUUGAGCAUAAGAGGUGGACUUACAGAAGAAUUGAAGAACCAUUGACCCCACAGUUCCUAAAUUUCAAGUUCCUAGAUCUCCAUACGAAUCAAGGAGUUCCUGUCUGAGCCUGUACUGUGUUGAGAUGUCUGACCUUAUUAACUUGAAGCAUCAUCUCUUUGCUACAUUUGUGCAGGCUUAUUUAUGCAGGCAAGCAGCUUGCAGAUGACAAGACUGCCAAGGAAUACAACAUCGAGGGUGGUUCUGACCUUAUGAAUCAAGCAGCUUUCUCCAAGGGUGUCUUUAGUAAUAAUUAUUCAUGAUAUUUGAAAAAAAAUAAGAGUAACCUAAACAUUACAUAUGGAUUUAAUGUGUUUUAUCAAGAGUGCCCUUAAAUUAUCAGAUUGUUUUCCAAAAUGAUGGAAUGUUGAUCCUGAUUACAGUAGCUCCUUGAUGAGAUUUGUGCAUCGCAUCGAUUUCGUUGUGCUAAAUCUCAAGUCUGCUUGCAUUUAUGUGCUAAAUUAAGUACUCUUAGUGCCAUUCCCUUUCAAUACAAGAGGCACAUAUUGGAGCUUUUAAGGUUCUGGAUUCUAAUAUGUAAAUUCCAAUGACUAAAAUCCUUAUCACUCCUGAAACAAAGAAAAAGGAAGAACAGAAACUAUUGUUGCCAUGUUAAAGAGACAUAAAAUCUGUUUUUAAGCUGCAGGAAGUAGAGGUGUACCCCCCCAAAAAAUAAAAAAGCUGCAGGAAGUAGAGCAUCUUCAUCGCUACCUCCAAUGUAAAGGUGUAAAUAGUAUAAUACUAGUAUGGAUAAUGGAUUACUGAUCAUACCAUUAUCAUUGUCAUCUCCCCUAAAGGAAGGGGUCAGCUAUGCAGCUACCCUAACCUGAGAAAACUCCAAGGCAGGUUCUGCAGCCAGCUCCUUCCUUCAUCCAGGAUCUCCCUUCCGAAAACUAUAAAAAAAACAAAAAAGAACAAGGAUCACAUAACAACAAUGCUAAUGUAUGCUAAACCAAAGAGUGUAGUUAAUGCUUACCUUAAUAAAGGAGAGAUCCCUAUGCGGAGAUCUACGGUGUCCGAAGGGGCCAACCAUCAACAGACCUACCCUUCGCAUAUUAUAUCGCACCCAACAUGCCAAAUCAGAGAGGCUACUAAUUUCAUUAUAACCAAAACAGAAUCAAUCUCAGAAAUUGUCCAUUUAAUCACAGCAUGUCUAUAAACACAACUCCAUGUGCUAUGAAUGGUUAUGAAUGAGCAACCUAACAAUGGUACUUCAAAAAACACUAAACUAAGUUAAAGGAGAGUAAUAAUACAAAAGCAGUGUGCAUUUUUAACUGCUCAAAUCCCCUCCCCUCCCUUCUUUACGGAGGGAAUGAGAAAGAAGAAAAAAAUUGAACAUUUGCUAAAACAUGUGGAACUGCCCUGUCUGCUGAAACAUUACCCUUUUUCUAUACAAAAGGACAUGAAAUUCCACCCAAAAACUAUACUCAUGAAACAGAGUACCUCCUGUGCCUUGAUGAAGACCCAGAAGAUUUAGCUUCCAUAGGUUUCACAGAAGUGGGAGGGCUUUGAGAACUCCCAGAUGUAUCGCUACUUUUGUUCUCCCCAUGCCCUUUCCCAACCCAGAACUUAUCAAAUAUCCUCUUUGAUCGAGAUGGCAGCAAGAACCCACCACCCCUGUCCUUGUUAUCCCCAUUACUCUUCUUUCCCUCGUUACUCCGGCGCUCAUCCUCUUUUAUCUUCAAGUUCCCUAUCUGUCUCUUUACAGAGUUCAGGUUCUCUGGCACUGGUCUCUCCCAAUCAUCUUCCUCAUUUGGCCUGCCAUGUAAGGUGUCAUUGGUUGGAGCUGUCAGCCUCCCGGCCGCUGCCCUCAUCUGCACAAAGAAGAGGACCCGAACCACCACUCUAAGAGGUAAACGCUCAUUUUGUGCUGCAAGCAUGCAAGCAUCCACUGUGAGCUUCUUGACAUCGAUCAGUCUACAGAUCCUUUUCUUCUCUGCUUUACUCAGGCUUGGAUGCUCCUGUACAUUGUCACCAUAUCAGGUUGUGAGGAUUGGUUUCAAUAAUUUUAGAAAGAAAAAGAAACCAAAUUGAUAAAUAACAAAGCCAGAAAAAAAAGGUCACAAGUAGCAGAAAUUUUCCAAUAACAAAGGGGCUGUGUUAUGAUUGUCUUUUAAUAUUUUAAAAGUUUUUGCGAUAAUGCUGGAGAAGUGAUAAGCAGAUAUUCAUUUUUGUUCUUCCUGAUUGAAAUACGUGACAGCAUAGUGGUCAAAGUGCAGUGUCAUUUACAAGAGGAAUGCAGGCCAGUGAGAACAAGCUCAGGCUCUGCAGCCACUAAUCAAGAUUUCUGCUUGAGGAGUUCUGAGGAAUGAAAAGAAGAAAAUUGCGGACAUGAUCAUCUAACAUGAAAUAACAAGACUAUAUUAUUGAGAACGGUACUCCAAAUGUUUUCACUCAAGCAGCAUGAAAUAAUGAAAUGGAUACAAUAUAUGUUGACAAAUUCCAGAGUAAAUUAACAAGAUCACAUUGCUGAAACCAAGAAUGAUGAAAAUGCACACAAGCAAGGAUCAUUCAAUAAAAAAUAACUAUGUACUUUUAAGUUACAAAUUGAUCAAUACUGAAGCAUCAAAAGAGGAAAAGAAUAUAAUAAUAUCAAACAAACACCAGUACUUGCUAGAUACAACCAUAAGGACAAAGGGCUAGGUUUGGUGCUCAUUGCUUGGACCAUUUGAUUGUCUAAUGCAGAGUUGGUUUCCAUCUCGUCUCCAGAUGUCUGAGACUGCAGGGAACGGCAGAUCCCAUGCCCAUACGAUGCACAAGUGCUGUGCAUUGAAUGCAUCCUGAGGACAGGAUGGAUGGCUGAUGCAAAUUGGGACAAUCAAAUGACCCGACAAGGGUCAAACCUAUGAUGCUCCUUAUCAUAAGAUAGCAUACAAAAGAUACUGCUCAAAAACAAUAGCAGCUGUGCAACUUAACAAAGCAGAAAACUGUACACUGAGAACUUUUUUGGGGAAAAACAAUAGAUUACUUGGCAAUGAAAAAUAUGAAAACUAACAAUAAUUGAGCAUCUUUUUUAUACAACAUGAACUGACCAAAAAAAAGUAUAAACCUUACACAAAAAGUGGUGGUUAAUAGGGGUUUCAUGAACAUACCUUUAAAUAGAUAUCAAUGGCUGCGUACAGCCCAUCAUGAAUUGGUCUGGCUGCCUCUGGAACUGAUGUAGAAAGAUCAAUGAAGGUAGAAAUUGGCAGAUUUGGAUCACUGGCUAUUUCAGCAAGAUAACAAUCAAUCAUUUUUCCCACAGUCAACAAAGAUUCAUGUUCUAAAUCAAUUUCAUGCAUCCUAUUUUCACUCUUUUCCACAAAAUCAGUAUCAUGAGUGUUCCCAAGCCGCAUCAUAAAUCUACUGACUAGGCUUUGCACCAGAUCAACAUCAUAAAUAGUGUCACCUGAUGAUUUUGCUGGAAUCAGCAGGUCCUUCCAAGAAGCUUUGUGCAAUUGCAGACUAAUACGGUCCAUCAAGUCUUCUUUCAACAAAUCCCCAGCUCCGACCAAGAUAACAACUUUUAGCAAUUUUAAAAGGAAUCUGCAGGAACAACCUGAACCUCUAUCUGAUGGCAACAGCCUGAUGAUGGUUUCUACCAGAGUCCUGUUCCUUCUUGUGUAGUCAUCAGUAGCCAAGGCAUCAUAAGAAUCAUGCAACCAUCUAACUGUAUAAGCCUUGAGGGCCUCUCCUAUCACAUCAGAAGACAUUCUCCCUUUAGACUUCACAGCAACCAUCACUCGCUUGUAAAGAUCAACAUCCAGCUCGCAUAUAUCCUCAAUCCACCAAUCCUUGGGAACAAUGCGCAUCCUUUGUUGGGAUUCAACUAUCUCAUCUGAAGCUGCCAAUUUCUUGCUAUAGGUAUAUGACCAGUGCACGUUAGCAGGGUCUACAGAUGUUUUGGAAGCAAUGGAAUCUAUGCAUCUUCCAACCACCUUCAAUUCCUCAGACCAUGGUAACAAUGACUUUGUGGUCUGUAGAACAAUAAUGGAAUCUUUCCAACUGCGGAACACACUGGAGUUCAAGAAAACCUCUAUUUUAAAUAUUAAAUUACCUUUUUCAACAUCCUCAGUCAUCUCUAGGUAUUCUGCUGCACAUCUAGCUGCAACAACAUUGUAGGCAUUGAGAAUCACAACCAUGCCGUAGCAGAAUUUAGCACAUAUCUCAAAGGCUUUUGGUCCACCAGGAAAAUCAUGGACGAAAACUUCAUCAGUGUUGUCCUCAUUGGCCUUGAGUAUCAAUCCUUGUAACCAGUUGCUCUUGGAUAGAAGAGGAAACUGCAUAUAGAAAUAGUGAAUCCCAAAGCUUCAAUUUAGUGGUGCAAAUAUGGUUCGAUGUAACAUGAAAAGACAGAAAUAACACAUAAAUCAUAGUAAUACAGCAAAAUCAAUAGAACCAAUUUUUUUUUUUAAAAAAAAUGGUUCUGCUUCUUUGGCUGCUUAAUCAAAAAGAUUAGUUAAAUUUCAUAUUUAAGCUCUCAUUCCAACUGAUUGCCCAAAAUCCAGUUUCAGUUCCAUGGAAGCCAGAGUAGAUUUUUAAUUUAUUUUCUAUCAGCAUGAAAUGAAGAAGAAAGAGACAAUGGUGUCCAUCAUUUGCAUGUCCAAGUAUUAUGUUGCAAGAAGUCCUCCAGUUAAGCGAAAAGCAUAAGCAACAAAGAAUAGAUAUGAACCUCUGGCCCAAAAAAAAUCAAUUUCACAUUGUGGGAAGAAGGAGCAAAUAAACACUCUUGCCCUUCACUGGUGUAUACAUUGUCCUUCAUGCAAUCAUUCAAGGGAUGUAUACGACCACCCACAACCUCACACUCCCAGAACAAGGCACCACAGGAGAAUGAUAAAUUUGAUAACACAAAAAUUGAUGAGCUUUGUGCAAGGAUACAAGAAUGGAGGUCUCAGAUGUAGACUUGUUAAGCAGCUUUCUGUAAACAAAAGGAAUGAAAAAUUCAUCUUCAAAAAUGCAACUCAGCUGAGUAUUACAUUAAAAAAAGAUUAAUCUUUUUAUCAUUAUUCACAGACUUCCAGCUUGGACAAGUUUGAAAGCAACCAGGGUAAGUAUUGUCUUGCUCUGCAUCCUUGUAAAUGGACUGAAGAAAAUUAUACAAAAGCAGACGUAACUAUAUAGAGAUCUAUAAAUACAUGCUCACAGCUUCCUAGCAGAAAUUCAAUUGCAAAUAUUAUAAAUGCUAAUUCAGUUCAAGAAUUGAAAGGAUAGGAAAUGACCUUAUGCAAAUAAAACCUCACUUCACCAACAUGUAUAAUGACAUCUGUUGCCAGCUCAGAUACCACAUACCUGCAUUGGUCAUCAAACGUGAGAUUUAUAUGUACUUAGUAUCAGAAACAAGGUAUAAAACUAAAAACAUUAUCCAAAAUCAAUUGAAAGCACAUAUUAAGAUGAAUAAAAUGAUUUUGGAUGAUGCUUCUGAAUUGUCCAUUCAACAUACAGUUCUACGAUCCAACCAAUUUGCUUUGAGAGGGAUUCAAACAAGAGUUGAAGGAAAAAAAAGAAAUGAAUAAUAAGUAUUGAUGAGCCAGAUAGAUGCAACCAAGAAGCAGAUCUUGUAUCCCAGGUACAUGGUAAGUGCAAUGUUCCCCCUUGUAUUCGCAUGACCAUUUGUUGAUGGAUUACCUUUUUAACUUGCUCCCAUUAAUCGAAAUAAAGCUAAUACUAUCUAAAAUUAUCUAACCACAAGGAAAUAUAUGUAUCACCAGUUCAUUGAGCAUAAACAUAGGAGGCCUAAUUUCAUGUAACUCUAUUCUUACAUUUCACAGAGAAAGAGAGAGAGAGGAAAGGAAAAGAACAAAAAAAAAAAAGAUCCAUAUUUAUGAAAUCAGUUAGGUUAGGUGGUUGAAUAUGGGAACUAUUCGCUGAUGGGAAGCCAGCAUAUUAACACACGCUUGAGUUUUUGAUUUAUAAGAAGACUAUUUUGCUGUAUUCGGUUUGAGAAAGAUGUCUGAGAAUGAUGUUGGCAUAUCUGAACUGCUGCCAUACUUGCUCAAUGAAUGAUUGUGCAUUUCUUUCAUACAAUCUCAGUAAAUGGGUGCCUUGGCAAAAUCUUAUCUAAUCUCAACAGUACAAAUUGUGUAACACCCAAACUAUUGACCUCAAGAUCAGUACGCACUUCUACUUCUAUUUCCCAAAGCUUACUUUCAGCAUUACAACUAGAACAGAAAUAUCACGCUCCUAGUCAGAUCAGCAUUGCUCUGUCAAAUUAUGUUUGCAGAAAUAUACUCCAUAUAUCUGCAUCACUUUCGCACUCUUCUAUCACAAGAAAACUCAUCUCACAAUCAUGUUCCUGCAAUUCUGUUGAUCACCCUCACAUAUGCAGCAUUACAGCAGCUCAAACAGUGGAAACAUACAAGAAGCUUCUUGUCCUAAUUUCCAAGAAACCAAUUUGGAUUGCAAAUUUGACCCAUCAGACCGUGUGACAAAGAAAUAGCUGUAGGACAGAGAAAAGAAGUGGAGAAUGCAAGCAGCUCACUGGCUGAUCAGUUGCAAAACAGGAGCUGCCUAUCUUUAUAAAGCUCUCAUCUCUAUCAAACCAAGUUACCAAUACAAAGAUGGAUGGAAAAGUGGCAAGCACGAACCAAUUCGUUUUGGAAAAGUUUAGGUCCUAAAAGAACUAGCAAACAGGGACAAGUAUCGACAGCAUUGUGACUUGGAGGAUUUCCUGCAGCACAAAUAUUCAAGAGAAAGAAGUGGAGGACAGAUUCCCAAGUGGCAAAGAACCAAGUCUCGCCAGAUCUGAAAUUUCCAAAGCACUUAAUCUUCCUCCUCGACGGGAUAUUGGAUUGUAAAGUCUCUCCUUUUCCAUAUUUUCCGCUCUUUUUUCUGAGGAAAAAAAUUCCCGAAAACAUUAGGAAAAUCCAUGGAGCAAGAAGCCACGAGAAACAGGGUGCAACAGUGCUGUGCUCUCUGAUUCAUGGCCACCAUCUAUACAGAGAACUGUUUGGAUAUUAAAAAAUCUAUCCAUGUCGAUAUAAUUAACCAAAAGACACCCUUACAAAAAAAAAAAAAAAACGGCUAUCCUAUCCCAUGCCGAGCAAACGAGCACAGCAUAAUCACAAAAAAUUCUUCUCUUCUUUAACUAUUCGUGCUACUUGCAUUUCGCUCUAACCCAAACCCGGUAAUCUUUUAAGGGAAAUGUUCUGAAAGAAUCAUGAAGAGAGAGAGAGAGAGAGAGAGAAAAAGUUUUUUUUUUUUCUUGUUUCUCUGUUUUGUAGCUGCUCCAACCACCCCUUAACCACUCAGCAGCAUUCGAGAUCUACCGAUAUCCGAAAAAAAAAAAAAGAGAAACCGGAGAAAUGAAUCAAAACGACCGCAAAAUAGCAAAACUUCAUUCAAAAAACGUUCUUUUUAAGAAUCCAUUCCGGCACGGAAACAGAACGAAUCAAAGAAGAAACACACAACCAACACCAAGAUCUCGAAACAAGAAAAGUCCUCACCUGACGUCGCUCCCGUCGGACUGGAACGCAUCCGCCGGCUUCGAUCCCAGUUUCAUAAACUUCAUCGCCACCCCCUACCACCAGCAAUCCCCCACCUCACGUCCUUUCAAGCCCACCUCCCCAUCCCGCCCUCUACUCCCCACUAAAAUCCCGGCUUUCCCGGGUCCGUACGCUGGCCCGCCCCCACCCCUCGCUUCUCUUUCUCUCUCAAAUCCCCUGCUCUAUGAGACGAUGACGAUGCUGCCGUCGCCGUGGUUGUAGCGGUUGAGCGUCAUAAAGAGGGGAGGAGUAUCGGGAAGGGCGGAAAGUAUAGUGUCGUGUUAUGAUUAGCGCUAUCUCCCCCGCUUUCGCUUCUUUUAUUUCUUUCUUCUUCUUUUUUCUUUUCUUCCCUUGCUGUAAUAAUUAUUGGUAGUAUGGUUGCUUGUUUCGCCGCUGCCUGCCUGCCUCGUUCUUCUCCCUUCGAAGAAGAAUAAGAUCUUGGAGGGCGAUGCGCGCCCCGGAGGUGGGAGAGAGGGCUCCUCCUGCGGUCGCUUUCGGCAGUGCGGCGCUGUUCAGACGCCUGCCCACAAGUGUGCUCCUACUUCUCUCUCUAGAAAUAGCUAUUAAAAAGUUGUGGGAGGUGGUGGCGGUGGAUGUGGGAUCGGCUGGAAGUGGGGGACCAGGAUGACUUCCUGCCGCUAGAUUCUUAAAAUAUCUUAUAUUUGUUCCUGUCGUGCUUCGGAUUUUACAUGUUGCCCCCUCAACGGAUUUUAAUGUUAUGAACAACCUUUCUACUGGUGAGUGGUGAUUAAUCACAUAAAUACACAUCAGGUUUUAUGUUCAACGUACUGCAGCGCCAAGAAGUUGAGUUGAUGAAGUUGCCGGUAACAAUCCCAUCCUUGGCUAGGCUUCUAUCCUAGUUUCACAAAAACAAGAAGAAAAAAAAGACCACAUUUUUUUCCUGGCAAAUUUUUUCUUGUGAAUGAAUUAUGUGUUGAAGUCCACUUAAGCUGGUUAUUAAUUUGUGAGAUCCAUCCUUGGUCCGGUUGGAAAUCUAACCUUUAUAUGGGAAGUCAUGACCCAAUCUAUUUCGAGCAAGUGAGAGGAGGAAAUUGAAUUAGAUCAGAUCCCAAAUUCAUCUAAUUAACGUGCAAACUUAUUAUCAUCAAAGAGCAUAUACUACUUGCUCUCUUUGAUUAUUCACAGGGAAUGAUUUUCUUAUGUUACUUAUUUAUAAUAAAGUAAAAUUAAACUUCAAAAAAUCUCUCACUUAUGAUAACUUUUUCCUCCCAUUAUUUGGACCAUUGCAUAAAGCUCCAAAAAAAAUAACAAGAAAGUUCUGGAAUUGUUGACCGGUUGUUUUGUAGUUCAAAUUUCGAGUUAUGAUUAUAUUGCUCAUUCUAUAUUUUUUCACAAAAUCUUGUAAGAUGUUUCUAUCUGGAUCGCUAGAUAGAUAAUAUAUUGCAUUCUCUCUCCUUUUAUCCUAUCCGGUGAAAAAAAAUGCAAGAUGCUCAAAAAAUAGAGAUAGAAAAAUGAUGAUAAUAAAAUUAACAUUGCGAAUAACAAAUAUAUUUUUAUUCUCAACAGAUCUAACUAAUUAAACCAACUAGAACUCUAAAUUGGAACCCAACCUAUUCAAGAAAGUUGUUAGGUUGGAUUGAUCUAUCUACGGUCUGGAUUCAUUUAUAUCAAAUUCGAACUUAUUUAAAAUAGAUCGGCCAUGGAUCAAAUCUCAUAUUGCCAUCCCCAAGCAUGUUCCUAUUUUCAUUCUCAUUACUGGACAAAGCCGAUUCAUCUAGAAGUCAAGCAUAAAGAAAACGAUGCUAAUGAUCCAUUAGACAUCCCAGCGACUAAUUUGUUCUGUAGUAUCUUCAUGAAACUUCCACCUCAAUCACUUUUCGCUAGACAAAUAUUGCCUCCCAUAUUCUUAUAUUCACGCCAUUCUGUGCCCAGCCAGGCGCUUGGCUGGUUCCAUUCCAUUUAAAAAGUAAGAGAGGAAAAAAGGAAUAUGUUAACCAUGAAACUGCUCACUUUGACUUAGAAGAUUGUCCCGUAGUUUUUGAUGGAAUAUUAUGGGAUGAGUUUUGUUGUGGGUAUGGUUUCCAAACUUAGUCCCACAUCGUCGGAUAGUGAAAAGGUCUGUGCUUUAUAAUGAGGAGGCCAAAACAUUUCCUCUCGAGGGCCUUUUUGGGACAAAACCGUGAGGAGGGGCUGGUGGCUUCUGUCAGAAAAGGGGAAGUACCUACGCAGAACCCCUGCAGGCUAUGAUCUACGAAUCCUCCAGAGCGGACAAUAUCUCGGGAGGAAUGCAGUCGCUUUCCUUAUCCAGACGGUGGGGGCUGUUGCCGGGGCGAAACCUCGCAACAGAUGGCGCUAGAAGGAGGGCCCGCCCACGCACAAACCUUUCCACUGGGGGGCUGUGUUGUGGGUGUGGUUUCUGAACUUAGUCCCACAUCGCCGGAUAGUGGAAAGGUCUGUGCUUUAUAAUGAGGGGGUCAAAACUUUUCCUCUCGAGGGUCCUUUUGAACAAAACUGUGAAAAAGCGCUGGUGGCUUCUGUCAAAAAAAAAAAAAAAAAAAGAAAAAAGAAAAAGAAGAAGAGAGGAAGGAAGUAACCCCCGCAGGCUAUGAUCCACGAACCCUCCGGCCGGGGCGAAACCCCGCAACAAGUUUUUACGCAAAACUUUCGAAGCAAAGAGGGAAGGUUUCCUAUGAAAUACGGAGGCUUGGCAGGGAGCCAUAUGGGAAUUAAAAAAAAAAUCCCUAGUAAAUUUCUAUGGACACCUAAGAGGCUUUUCGUUAUUUUAUUGUUAUUUUUGGGAAAUCGCCGUCAGAUAUAUGGCUGCUUUUAUUAUUAUGCCGUCAAUGCACGCCACUCCGUCCGAAAUUACCUCCCUACCCACCACCAUGUGUUGCCCAAACUCUGGUUUUGUUGAUGGGAGGACUAAAAGUUAAUUAAUUUGUUUAUGGGUGGUAGCCUGGUAGGGGGAUUGGAUUUGGACCACAGUUAGUGUGAGCUCACCAUCUAUAGCUCUAAUCAUGGUUGUUGAUUAUAGGAAUCAUCCUCCUCAUGCCAAACCUAGUGAGAAUCUCAUCAUCACGAAGAAUUGUGCUCAAUCUUGCCGACUUGAUCUGAUAUUAAAUUUUUGGUCUAGGAACACCGUCGAGCACAUGCAAUCAACACAUGCCUAUGAAACCCUGCAAGCGACGAGAAACAUGAAGAGAAAGCUUAUGGAACUGAAGGACGAUUAGCAUGCUUUUUUAUUGUUUUGAAGAUUGUGGCUACAUGAGAGGAUGAGUGGGUCACUUUGACAUGGAAGUAUGCGGCCGAUUAACCCUAGAUCUACAUAGUUAAAGACAUAUUAAAAUUUCUAAAGCAUGUGAGAGGCAUAUGAAGCAGUAUGUUUGUGGGACAGUUGUUGUAUGGGUCAUUUGGGAGAUUCCUAGCCCUUGGACGAUGCCUAAAGAGGCAUUCUAUGAGUGCAUGCUUUGAAAAGAAGAAAAAGGACACCUACAACGACGAGAAUCGCAAAUAACCCCCCCAAUUUUAACUCUAUUUGAUAAAGGAAACGCAUGGCCGGUAAAGGUGGGUUCUCGUCACAUCACAUCAUUCUGACUCUUUUUAUGACGAAUGUUGGCCGAUUCAGAGGUGGACACGCGUUGGCAGCAGGCGUAGAUCGUUUCCAUACUCUUUUGUGAGCAAAUUCGAAUCCAACAAUUCGCCACAAACAAUAAUGGAAUAAAGAAUUCAUGUUUCAAUUCUAUGUCGAGCCAAUGUCUGCUCCUACCAACCUGAUAUAGUUUUCAUUAGCUCGUUUGGUCCUCAAAUGAACGGAUUCAACUUGAGUUAGGAAUAAAAAGAGAGAAAAGGCACAAAAAGUAAUUACACCGAUCGAGGUAUUUAUUUAUAUAGUUAUAUAAAUAACUCACUUCUACUACUUCUCUAUGGAGAGGGAAAGAGUGUAGUCGUACCUCAGCUAGUCACCAAAGUAACCAAAAAAAAAAAAAACCGACGAAAUGCUAAUACUUGAUAUACACUUAUUAAACCAGAAGAGUUUAUGUUCUUGCAUAAUAAGGUGCAAGUUUGUGGGUGUAAUUAUCACUAUGAUGGUUUAAGGGAAAGAAAUUAGGUUGAAGGAUUCAAUCCGUGAUAUUUUGUUAGGCUCAUCGAUGCUCAAAACCUCAAAGUUUAGCAUUUUAAAAGACAACCAACGAGUUUAAUUUCAUUCAAUUUAGCAGAAGAUUUGACAAAAUUACAUUAAUCUAGAUACAAUCCGACAUGAUCCACUGCAUCCUCAUCCUUCUCCGUUGAAAUUAACUAUAGGAUAAUAUUGUUAUAGAUAUGGUCAUACAUGUCGUGCUUGACUAUGACCUAAUGCAGCAUUCAACUCUCUCAUAAGUAGCUAAAUUUCUCAGGUAAGCCUAGGUAUUUCUUAAUGAUUUACACUGAAUGGGACCACAAGGAUAAUAAGUCUUCUGACUUUGAUUUUUCGACCAUUUAAUCGAUACAGAAAAGGAUAAGGAGCCAUGUGAGUGCACUGAACCUCGAAUUGACCCAAGAUUUACUGGCACCGGUAAACCCUAGCCCAAUUGGAUAAGAUUUAGAAAGAAGGAUACAAAUUAGGUAGGUUAAGGAGAGACUUCAAGAGAACUAGCUCAAAAAUGCAGUAAGACCCAGAUAGAUCAAUCCAAACACAGUACUCUAGCAUCACUUCACACUAAAUUCUAUAGGAUUCAGCCUCAUCUCAUCGACCUCCAAUUGCAUUGUACUACAAUGAACCGGGUCACGUCCGUGCAUGCAUGAUUCUAACCCGACGUACAACAUCUUGUGGUCCAACUUGGGCGGCACGAUCUGUCAUGAAGGCAAAUGCCAUCCAAGUGAGUUAUGUGAAUGGGACCACUCGCCUAAGCCUGUCCUCCAUCUUGUUCUGAUCCUUUCCCCACUGGCACGAAGGCCAGGACAGUACACACGUGUGCAUUGCAUGCAAGUUCCAAAAGUUCCCUUUCAAAAUCCCUUACGUCAAAGAAAGGCACAGAUGCUGCACACAGUCCCGGGUUUAACAGCAUCCGAGGCCUUGUGGGGGGGACUAUGUUUCCACAGUCCCAAAUAUAUAUUCCUUCUCGGCAUUUAAAUGCUUAGAAGCUGCAUACCGGGUCAAUAGGAACCAGCUGAUCGAAAUUGGAGAAAAUAUAUCCUCCAUGUCAUCCAAAACAUUGCAUCGAGCACUCCUCACGGUGCGCUGCUAUAGAAACAAAUAGCUGUGAUUGGCAGUAUGCAUGGCUACGUGAUGCAUGCUGUGUAUGUAGGACAUAAUUUCUCAUCAAAUUGCUAGGCACGGGCUUUGCUUUCAUGGUUGAUGGUGCUCGGAGUUUCCAUCAUUAUGAACGCAAGGUAUUCUUUGAUACAAUGCAUUCAGAAUUUUGGCCUUCGCUAUCUUGGGCUAUAUAAAACGAUAAUUCUAAGAUUUUGGUCAAUGAUAUCCUACAUGAUGCAAAUUCUCGAUCUUUCUUAGACAAUUGUAGAUGUGCUUCUUCAUUGUCAAAUAUUAAAACUAGCACCGCAAAUUUGCAAUUAACCACGGCUUCUUUCGACCAGCCUUAAUUCAACAUCGUUCUACUCCUGGCCAUGCCUAUUCUGGUUGUUUUGAUUUGUCAAUAUGGACUAUCUAUGACACUUUCUAGUUUCCGGCAUAUUUUAUGUUUAUCUUUGCAACUUUUUUAUUUUCCAUAUCGAGAACAGUUAAUAUAUCUAUGAAAAACCUGUUUCUGAAUUAGCUUCUUCUAUUUGUUUCUGAAGUUUAAUCCACUCUUGCCAAUUGUUUAUGGCAUACCCAUUGUUAUACAGUGCUAAUAUUCUAUAGCUGAGAGCUCUUUCUUUGGAUAUUUUGGAUUAUGCUGAGCCACUUAGGCCAAUUCCAACAGCUCCUCGAUCAAAGAUGUCAAUCUUUUAAAUACAUAAAUGAGAUGUCAAUGAUUCUUCUCAUUUUAUAAGCGUGACACUUAAGCAUUCUAUAAGGCUUUUAAGAUCUUUGUAUUUAGUUUGACUCGCACUGUGGACUUUCGCCGAGUCAUGCCAUGCUGGGGACCAUCAAUAUGCGGUUGCUACUUUAUUCAGUACCAAGGUGGGUCGAGCGCUUCUUGUAGCCCAAACGACUGUCCAUUAAAAUAUCACUAAUUAACAGAUAGAUGUUCAUGUGAUAAAUUUAAAGCAAUUAAUUCGAUGAUAAAGCACAGCAAUCGGUGUGCGCCAAGGUGUAAUCAAGCGGAGCCUGAUCGAGCUUGGUUUCAAAUAAGUUCGAGCUUGAAUUUCAAGACCGAAGUUCGAUUUAUUUAUCAUUGUUUCUAGCUUAAUUCGACCUUAAUUUCGAAUUAAGUUGAACCUUACUCGAUCAGCUUGAUAAUCCUAAAUCAACCUGAAAUCAACUUGAAACUAAAUUAAGCUCUCUUCAAGCAUAAAUGAAAGUUUAACUCUUGAUUUCAUGUUUUAGUUCAAAGUUUGAUUGCGCUCUAAAUUAACAUUUAACGAAUAUUUUAUAAAGUAUAUGCCAGAUAAAACUUUAAUCUAGUACUUUAUUAAAUAAAUUAUAUAAUAUAUAAUUUAAAUAAGUUCAAAAUUUAUCCAAUAAAGGUGGUUUGAUUUUUAGUUUAGCUUGAAAUUAACUUAAAUCUUAUUUUGCUAGUAAGCUUGGUUUGUUUAGCUCUAAAUUAAACUUGAUUCGAGCUUUUCUUGAGACGGGCACAUACUGCUCGAUUAGUUUGACAUGACUAGCAUGGGCUAGCAUCCACGAGCUUUGAUUCAUUCGACAAGUGCAAUCCUUCCUAAUCGUUUCUGUAGGUUAAUUAUGUGAGCUUGUACUGCAUGCACACUUAACCAAACUCGUGAACGAUGCCAAUCCAUCUUAUAGAAGUCAAUUAAAUGAUCUCUAUCUUGGAAGUGGUUGGAAACUCUAGUUCAGGUCAACAAAGAGAAAGUGAACAGAAGAACAAGUAGAAAGGUGAGGUUUGAAAAACAAGCCAAGGACCACUAAAUUAUGCUCUCCUUGGGUCACUCUCUGUUUGAGACAAAAAAAAAGAGAGGAAAGGGAUUGGGAGCUAAAAGGUCGAGCAGAGGGUAAAGAUCCUUAAGCAUAGCUUAAGGGCUGCACAAUUGUUAGUUCACACGUCAUGGCUUCAUCCGGACCACUUUGUUGAUGAAUCUCUUCAAUGCGAUGAUGAACUUGCUGCAUCAAUAAGAGCUUCUUUUUUUUUUCCUUCCACCCCUCUGUAGCCUUUUGGCAUCGAGUUGAAUGGCUGAAUGAUUGAAUAGCUCGUCUCAGAAUAUGUGGAUGUCCCCAGACAGAAAGGGAGGACUAGUUAAUGAGACCAUCCUAUAUAUUAACUAUUGCUACAGCCACAUAGAAGGCAUAUGGAAGGAAUUAAGGAAUGGAGUUGGAUUCCUAGCUGAGGAUAAGAUGAUUGAAAAGUUGAAAGGGAGGAAAAGAGAUGAGGGCAUAGAUUCCAUUAUCAUGUAACUACUUUUGCUACUCACCUUUUGAAAAUAUGAUGCAACAAAUUAUGAAUUGAAAGCGACACAUCACUCGAUCGAAUAUGCGGUAUCGGUCGCAAAUAGAUAAAAAUAUACAUGUAGUAUCAACGUUUAAUAUGCAUCGAAUAGACGACACUUUCGGUCGUAAGGUGGCAGCUAGUUAUCAUGUCUCUAUCCUGAAAUUAUAUAGAUGUGUCGACAUCAUAGUGCCCACAAGCAAAACUAAGUGGCAUCUAACCCUAGCAAAUAUACAAGGCACUCUUGUAGCCACCCUAAUACUACAAGAAUGGACAUUAUAUAUAUAUAAAUAUGAAACUUCAGCUGUUGUGCUAUUAGGUGAGCUAGAGUACAUGUUUUAAUUAGAAAUAUAAAAAUUUAGAUAGACAGCAUCCAUUAGCUUGUUAAAAUCAGUGCACAUUAUUGUGUUUGAUUGUGAUGCAUAUAAUGGGAUGGUGACACUUGCUAGAAAAGCAAGAGGAACAGAGAUCAUGAAAGGUCAUUUGAAUGAGUUGGCCUAACUACCUACCAGAAGAGAGAUGAUGAUUCCGAUCAUGCGUCACAAGUGUUUAUGGUUAUCAAAAACAAUUGAGAGCAGUUUACACUUAAAACGUACUUGUUCACUUCUCAUCAAUUGGCUCCUUGAAUUAACAAAUGGACUAUGACAUUGGCCAGUCUCGUUGCUCUCGCACUAUCAUAGUCCAAAUACUAAUAAAAUAAGCGAUGAUUCUGAUUUUGCUUCCCAAGAAACUAUAGUUAUCUAAAGCAAUUAGGAGUAGUUUAUCCUUAAAAUAUACUCAUUCACUUCUCAUCAAUUGGUCCCUUGAAUUAUCAAAUGGACUAUGACAUUGGUGAGCCCUGUUCUCACGCUAUCAUGGUCCAAAUAUUAAUAAAAUGCCAUCCGUUUCGUUCUCAAAUAUUGCUUGAUAUAGCUGACAACAAAAAAAACUAAAUUCCAUUGUUGUGUAGUUCAUGCCAUUCGAGUCCCAAUCAUAUCUACAUUGUUGUUUUUAUGUAUCAUGUUGUCUCUUCCCUUGAGAUUCUCCAAAAUAGAUGCUAGUGAGUCAUUGAUGGUGCCUUUCUUUCUUUCUUUCUUUCUAAUGUGUAUCAACUAAGAAUAAAAUGGGUUGAGUGGACCCUUAUCCAAGGCAAACCUGAUCCGGACCACAGACCUGUUUGGCCCAUUUGUACUCUAGCUGAGGAGAGAGAGAGAGAGUGUGUGGCAAUGUGGCUUGCAUUCAUGGCGUGGGGAGCAACUUAUGAUGUUGCCACAGCAACUCAUGGGUCCAAAGUUUCAAACAAGUACUAGAUUGCUGGAAUGAUGGGCAAUCAUGCAUCUCCAUCUGCCAAGGAAUAUUGAAGUGGUUUAUAUGAAACAAGGGGCCUCCUUUUCUAGUGAUGUGUUUCUUAGCUAUGAUGAGCUUUUCGAGGACCACGCAACUCCUCCCUUUCUCAUUAUUAGAUCUGCAUGCACAUAAGGAAACUCUCUCUCUCUCUCUCUCUCUCUCUCUCUCUCUAUAUAUAUAUAUAUAUANNNNNNNNNNNNNNNNNNNNUCUCUCUCUCUCUCUCUCUCUCUNUAUAUAUAUAUAUAUAUAUAGAGAGAGAGAGAGAGAGAGAGAGAGAGAGAGAGAGAGAGGGAGAGAGAUUUCCUCCUUGGCCAUUUGGACUUGGUGAUAUGAUACUCCCUUGCCUUCUGCUGGAACAGCAAGAUUUUCUAUGGGAGGUAUGUUGGAUGCAUGACUUCCAACAGGACGCCCAUCCUGAGUGUUUUGUAUGCUGCUAAAAUUAGGGGUGCAACUUGAGCUGGUGCAACUUAAACCUAAGCUACCAAAAAUUAGCCUGCUUUGAGUCAGACCAUAUUUAACUUGGGUCCCACUCGGUAACAAAUGUCAACCCAAUCUCAUGCUUCAUCAACUUUGGCUCAAAGUCUCAAGUAAAUUGGUCGAAGUUAAAUUUUACGAAAUUUUUAUAGUAGAGCUAAUGAUCUACCUCGAGAGUCUAUUUUGUUGGAUAGACAAGCCUCGAGAGUCUAUGAUUAACAUAUAAACCAAUCAGCCCUAAAACAUCACCAAAAUCACACAUUGAUUGGAGCCCUAUAGAGAUACAAAUCAAACUUAUUUGAGCUACAUCGGGUGCAAUCGAAAAUUUGGAUUUGACUCAGGCUAGGGUUUUGCUAGUUAGAUUAUUUCUGGGUCGGGAACUACACCAGCUAGAUGGCGGUCAUCCAUGGACACCGUCAAUAGUAGGGCUGUAACCCGUGAGAAGGAUCGGUCCGAUCUGGGUUCAUGCUUGGAUUAGGAGAGAGAUAAUUUUAUUACACGAACAAAAACCAGAUAUUUCAAUCAAUCUUUGUAGGGUCGAAUUGGGUCCAUUUUGGUUUAAUGGGGUCCAUUUUGAUUCUAAUAUGUCAUUUCCUAAAAGGAGAUGUUUUAUUUCCCCUGUAUCACGUCCCUUCUCAAACUUACAACAGUUAUAGUCUUGGUUGGGACCUGUCGACUAACUUGCAAGUGACCAUAUCUGGGCACCAGUCAUGUAAGUAUAGGCUGGAUCCAGAUCUAGGCCUAUUGCUCUGCUGGUCAGCGAUAGAAGUUGGUUUACAUUGCAAGCAAUGACAUGGGCUUUUGAGGCAAGCCCAACGUUUUUUGAAUGCUAACUCCUAACCCAAAGGCCCAUGUCACAACUAUCAAGGCCACAUGAGAACAGGGGGUUGCUAGGGUCAAUUCCCACAGGAUUUUUUUUUUAUUUGUUUCAAACAAAAUUGUGAUCGCGCCGGUGACCCUCUACCUUCUGUCAUAUUAUUAUAUGAACUAAUAAAAAAAUGCCAUAUGGGUUUAUUAGCUCGGGUCGAUCCUUCUACUAACAACUUAAGCUUUUAGGGUAGAAUUAUAGCCAAGCCCGUCAUUAUGCAAUAUAAUUUUUUUUAGUCAUGUAAGCCUCUUAUUGAGAGAUACUAGGGUCAUGGAGGACCCAGCAAGUUUGAGUGGGACUUAGGUCAUAGGUGGGCUCUCCUCUCUCAAGUAGGAUCUAACCAUGAGGAGGGCGUCAAGAGACUGCUAUAGCCUGCAUCGACUAAUAAAAAAAGAUGCCACAUGGAUUUAUUAGCCAACAACUCAAGCUCUUAGGCUACGAGUUAGUGACACUUCUCCAUCCGCCCCUUUCACUUCCCACACAGGCUCUAAGCAUGAAUUGCCAACAAUUUAAACCAAACUUGAUUUCAAGUACUUGAAGCCGUGAUCCAAAGAUAAGGGUUCUGCCUGACUUGCGGGAAUGGCUGGUAUGGACUACAACAAGAUCCUCGACUCUUGUCGUCAAAACCUUUCAAAUUAAAGCUAAAAAGGUAGGACUGGAGAAUUGUACUCUUUGUUUUCAGAACCCAACUGGACCAUGUUCAACUAAAGCAAAGUCAUAGACGGCUUAGAAAGCUCCGACGUCCUGCCCCUUGCAGAACUUGAUAUCUGAAUUUUACUGAUCCUGAGGGGCUUCAUUGUAGCUUUGCAGCCUUAAACUAGCUUAACAGCCAAGUUCGAUUAGCUUAACAAAGCUGCAAGCCUGCAACACUUGUGCAUCUUGUGGCCUCUAAGGUCUGUCACGUCCAAAUUUACUUAGGUCGAAGAUCUGCUGGCCGCAAAACUUACAAUUUGAACCAUGCAAGCUCCAUUGCCAAGCUACAACCCUAUUGGGACCAUGUUUAUAAUAAUAAUAGUGAUAAUCUUAUUCCUUUAUCAAACUUUGGAGUUAAUAAUCAUUUCAAUUACAUAAUUUAUGAGGGCUUCCGAUCUCUGAUUCCAUUUGAGGCCAUUUGGGUGGGCUCUGAGCUUAUCAUCCUUGCUGAAUUUAACCUAAAUAUCAAUCUUUUUGCGCAAGCAAAAAAUUAUACAACACCUCUGCUUGGCUCCCCCCUUUGGGGUCAUCCAGCUUGCAAAUGUUGCCAGCCUCUCUGCUUGAUUCCUAACACUGGAAAACCCACAAUAACAAAACCAAAAUUAUAACUUGGUAGCCUACUUCGUUGUAUUCUUCAAAAUUAAUUAGCAACUAAAUACCCAUGAAGCUUUUUAUUUUAUUAUUCUCCACAACCACUCACCCACCGAAAGAGAGAGAUCAACUUGUUUUGUUUCUUGUUUUCAGUAUUCUUGUUGUAUUCUGAUUCCUUUAUUUUGUGCUUAUUCCUUGUUCUUCUCGUGAGAUGGAUAGAUAGAAAAUGCCCCUACCUUUUGUGCUCAAACAUUAGAUGAAGCACAGGGCCCUCUUCAUGAACAGAACAAGUUGGGAAAAUAUAUGGACGCAAUACUCAACACAACAAACGUUCAAAGAAUAAAUUGAAUUCAUAUCAGCAGAAGCAAUGUCAUAAGCAUUCUCGGCUAUGUAUCACAUAGGAAAGAAGAUGAAACCAGAAAGCUCUAUGAACAACACGAAAAAAUCCAAUCCUCUUCCUCCUCAAAAGAAUAACCAAAACUCAUAAUACGACGCCUCAAAGAAUCCUCGCCACCAUUCCGAUGACAGCCAGAACACCCACCAAGCCCCCUGUAAUCCCCCCUGCCAACUUCUGGCCGCUGCUCACCGGAGCCAUUGCAGGACCAUCGUACUCCAAGGGGGAAGGUGCAGGGGAGAUCCCACGGUACCGGUGGAGCCUCUCUGAUAUCACAACGACGAUCAGCUUCUCCCCCUUCUCACAGGCCCCCUCUGCUCCACUGAUGAAAUAGUACGGCCCUGAACGGGGGAGCUUCACCACCGUGCUCCCAUCCUUGUGCUCGGCGAUCGGGCUUGAAGUGGUGCAGCUCAGGUAGCCCUCCCUCGUCACCUCCAGCACCGAAUCCUUCUUGCCAUCAUACUUCCAAACUGGGUCAGGAAGAGCCAAAAAUGUUAGCUUGCGUCUCGAAACUUUGAUAGAGGAGAGGAGAGGAGAGGAGAGGGUUGAAACUUACCAAGCGAAUCCCCGACCAGAAAGCGGUUCGCCUCCGCCCACUGAUUGAGGGUUUCUGAUGGAGACGAGGGGAUUUUCCAUGCUUCGGUGUUACCUCCAACCAAGAAGUCUUUAGCUUCAGAGCUUCCCACGAUGAGAAGAAGGACGAGGAACACGAGGGAAGAGAGCAACGGCGAAGCCAUGUAUGCGAACUGAGAGAAGAGAGCAGUAGUAGUAGCCGUAGCAGCAGCAAAAGGAGGAUGAUGGAGCUAAGUUGAGGGACUUCGUGUGGCUUGUUGAAGUUGGGGAGAGACCAAGGGAAUUGGGCUCUAUUUUAUAUUGGGUGAAGGAGGAAACUAGCCGUUGGGAAAGGCUGGGUAGGGCUCGAGCCCAUUCACCUAGGGCUCGGUUUUUUUUUUUUUGUCGGGGCCACAACGGUCGGGAACCUCGAAAUACGAACAACAAAAUCAACGGACAAUGCUUUGCUGCCCACGCUCGCAUAGUAUAUUUUAUGCGGAUUCAGCAACUGCCAAAUAUUUUUUUAGCCAGAUAAUUCUACAAUUAUGCACGAUAAUCAAAUUAAACAAGAAUUAAGCAGUCGUUCGCAACGCUUGUUCAAGAAAUACUCAUAUGUCACCAUUAUUUUGUUAGUUGGAUUUUUCUUAUUGCCUUAUUUGGAUUUUUUUUCUUUCCUUUCCAAUGCUACAUUACAAUGAAUCCAUCUAUUGACAACCAAAAUAGAAACUAUUAUUUGUGUAAUGAAGCCUUGACAUAAGUAUUUUAGGAAUUAAAUUAUGGCUACUAUAAUCAUUAUCAAGCCAUUAUGAGGGUGCUAGCUAGUGUCAUUGGUAAAAUUUUUAAGGUUUGGCACCAAACACCUGGAUUAGAGAAAAAUAUUACCUUAAUUUUUGCUAGGAUUUCUCCCAUGCUAGUUCUCAAAAAAACGGGAGGAAAAGACAACUAUUAUAAGCACAAAAAUCCUCAUUUACACAACUACUAUUCAUGGAGUAAACUACAUCUUCUAGAUCAUAUAUUGAGUAAAAAAAAUAUCCUUUUCAACUAGUAGAUAUUUAAAUUCAACAAUAAAAUAGUAGUAGUGGUGCCUGUUAAACCGAUACCAGCGCACAUACUCAGCCAUUUGCACCCUCUAGUGUGUGCGCAUAUAAUAUAAUAGAAGGAGCAUGAAACGUUGGCUAUGGUACCAUUAUUGUCCAUUGAAACUCAACUGGAAGUUGCCACUCCUAGAGAAGAUCAAGGUCUGGCUGUAUUCCAUUGUAAAGUCCUCACAGCAGAGAACCUGAGGAAAGGAAAAUUUCUUGCACCACCUUUUGCAUGCUAUUAUGAGGCGAGGAGGACGAACACAAUCGAACAUCUUUUCCUAACUUGUUGCUAUUCCAAAUAGUUUAGCACUUCAUUUCUCAAGGAAUAUCAAUUCCCUUGCUUCCAAGCUCGGUGCAGGAUCUCUAUACAGCAAUAUGGAGAGGUCAGCUUUCUUGAAGCAUUCCAAAGGUAUUAUGGGACAGCAUAGCAUCUACACUAAUAUGGUGCUUGUGGAAAGAAAGUAAUUGCUCCAGUAUCUCGGUUCGAAGCAAACUGUGCUCCCGGAACGCUGGAAUAGUGUAGUCACCUCUUUGAAAGCUUGAUGCUGCCCAGCGAAAGCAAAUAUCAACCCCUUAAAGCCCUCACGUCCAUAAAUAAUGAAGGAGCUGGCUCGUAAGCCUGGACUACAGUCAUACAAAACAAGUCUCGAACCUCGAAGGGUUCCAAGAGAAAUGGUUCCUUUCCAAGUAGGGCUCGUUUGGUUCCUGAAAAGUAUUUUCCCUCUUAGGAAUAUGAUUCCUGAAAAGAAAAUUCCUAGGAAGAGAAUGCCUGGGAAUAUACUUUUGACAUGUUUGGUUAAACAUAAAAAAGUGACAGAUUUUCAAAGUGCUUAUGUUUGGUUGACCAUCUACUUUUCUGAAAAAGUUAUGUAUAAUUCCUAUUAUACCCUUAAUAAAAAUUAGAUAUUUAAUGCCUCUUUAAUGCCGGAGGGUCUUUUUGGAAAAAAAUAAAGAUGGAGUAAUUCCCAUGUUUUUCAUGAAAAAGAUUUUUUCAUAAAAUAUGGAAAUCAUAUUUUCAUGAGAAUAUAAUUUUUCCAUCUUUCUCUUUUAAAAACUCCAACCAAACAAAAGGCAUCUCAUUACUUUUUGUUGACCACACUUUUCCCCUUUUUUUUCCCGCGAACCAAAUGGGCUCAUAGAGAUUAUCCAUUCUCGAGCCUUGGUCUUACACUUGGGUCAAACACUCCUUAUUCCUUUGGGUCUGGAAAUGGUCACGCAAGCUCAGCAACGGCUCAAAAAGAUCCGCCUAUAAGCUAUUCCAUUGUAAAUAUUUUCCUCCUUUCUCAGCUAGAAAGUUGAUGGGUAAACCUCCCUUUUCAUAAAAAAAUAUUGUUUUGCUCAUUACUCAUCUUUCAUGUGCAUACUUUUACAAAAAUAAAUCAUUUUAUUUAUACUUUUAACCUAGAUCAAUUUCUUUUUCGAGCCCUUGAUGUAGAGCAAUGAUAGGUGGACCAUUUAAUGGGUCAACCUUCAUGAGACCGUCAAUGUGUCCCACCUUUUUCAUUAACAUAACAUCAAUUAAAUUUAUACAAGCCAAUAAAAAAUAAAUUUAAAUAUAUUUUUGUCCACCUAAUGAAAAAUAUAUAUCAUACUAGUUCUAUGGAACUAGUCUCCACCUUCAACUAGUUCACAGGCCAUUUACUCGUUGCCAUGAUACACAUCCAUUAAGAGGAGUCCUAAUUCCAUAGACUUUCUUAUCAUGUUACAUCUAGAUCUGUACGAGCUACCACAAAGGCAAUUCCUUAGCAUGCUACUCUUAUUGAUUGAUGUAGCCCAAUGUCUCCCCAAGAAAUCAAUGUUUUUCUCAUUUUUUUUCUUCUUCUUUUUUAACCAAAACCUCCAUGGUGCCUCUCACCAUCCUCAACCUGAAAAAAGAAACGAUACUGCACAUUUUGGCAUAUCGAUACAACAUACAAUCAUUUGAUCUAGAGCAAAAUACUUCAUGUAUAAUCAACUUAGAGAGUUAAUUGGCAAAAAUAAUAAGCUAUAAAAAAUGAGAACACUAAUAACAUCCAAAUAUAAUAUGAGUUUGCCCCAAAAAACAAUCAGAAUGAAAUAACAUGGCAUUAAUUAUGGACACGUGUAUACAUAUAUGGACAUAAUUAAAAAUUCCAUGUAACCAUACAUCUCUAUAUUAUGAAUUAAGAAAUAUGAAAGUUAUUGUUGUUAGUUUUGGUUUUGGUGAGGAGUAUAACAUACAGACUGCACAUCUGUGGGCAAAUCACCCUCUCAAUCUCAUUUUCACCUCAUCCAUAUGAGGGAAAGAAUGAUAACAGAAGUUGAUCGAGCAUCCGAAAAUAUAACAGAACCAACUAACCCAACCCCUCCUGGGCAAAUCAUCACUGGUUUUUGAUGAAGAAGAAAAAAAAUAAAGAAAUACAUACCACCCUCCACCUCCACAAUAAAGAAAAAGCCAUAUGUAAAUAAAAAGGGAAUCAUUUUAGGAAAGGGGAAUGACUUUCACAUGACUACCAUCAUGACCAUCAUAGAACAGAUGCUCCUAUAAGAUGCUGGAGGAGAUGGCCUUGGCAUAUAGAUAUUCAUAAGUUGUUGAUGGAAAAGAAAUUUUAAUGCUUAACAAACAAAGUAAACAAUAUCAAUUUUUUUUAUUUUUUGGUACAUCGGCUGCUCACACUGCUCUCGCAUGAGCACAAUCAACUACAUCACUAUCAAAGUAAACAAUAUCAAGUAUGAGAAAAAAAUGACCUACGGAGUUGAAAAAGAGGAAAGGCUUAGUUGGUCCCAUCUACCAGAAAUCUCGUCCGGUCUCCAAUUGGCUGCAGAAGUAGCCUGUAGAACAACAAACCUUCCAAAUUCAAAUAAUACAAUGUUUACAUUUUAUUCCGCUUCCCCCCAACUCUUCUGCAAAUAAUAUUGCAAAAUAUAGGGAUAAGAAGUAAUUCUCAAAUUCAAAGGGAUAAAAAAAUAUAUUUUUGGUUGGAAUGACUAAUAAAUACGUGGCAACUACUCACACUGGCACAAGUUUUUUUGGUUCUUAAAAAGAAACAGUUUGAAACGGUUCAAUUGUAUGAAAUAAAUUUCUAGAUCCAGAAAUUCCUUAAGUUGGUAAAAAGCUACAAAUUAUUGUCGAUUGAUACUUAUAUAUGAUCAAAAAAUCUUGUAAACCUUGAUAAAAGGUCCUGGUCUCGGAAAAGAUGCAGCAUUACGAGCCAUUCGUAGAAGUGAUAUACUAUUAAGUUUAGUACGUGAUGUAACACCUAUGCCACAUAAUGAGUGUCGACCUCCUAAAAAAAGACGUGUAGAAAGAAGAAUUAAACGGAUUUCAAGAGAAAUAAAUGAUUCAAUAAUCUGAUCCUCUAGGGAAGCAAUACUAACAUGUUUAUGAGCAAAGAAUAUAAUGGAUGGUUGUAAUGGACAGAAUACACAUAAAAUCCGAACAGGUUGUAUAGAAAUUUUUGCAGUAGCCGUUGUACACCAUUUGACAGCAAUAUGAAAUAUGAUUGAGGUGUCUGAAGCAUAAAAGCAUAUAAGCAAAACAAAUUACCACUACUACCUCUGCAGGGAUAAGUAGGAAAACUAAACAAAACAAAAGCAGAUAAAGCAGCGGCACAAAGAGUUUACAGAUUGUAUUAAUUUAUUAACAAGAUUAAGAGCAUUAUCAAGGGAAAGUCAAAGUGGAUAACCUUAAUUAAUAUCAGCUCCAGCGAAAUUUCUAUGCUCGUGCAUCACCUGGUAAAAGAGGCUAAAGAAAUUGGACUUGUCAAAAACCCUCCGCAACUAGCAAUAUUAGAAGAGCAGCUAGAGAACAGACUUUGGACUGGAGGAUAGUAUUGGAGAUUUUUCAAGUUGAAUUUUGUCUUAUUAUUGCUCGAAAAAAGAAGGAAGAGAAUAGACAGCAAGGGAGGAAAAAGGAAUCCCUGCAAGACCAAAACCUUGGGAAUAUCUGGCUGGAAGGGAGUAGAUUCAAAACCUUUAAGAAUUGCAGUAAACCCUAAUCCCCACCAAACCAUUCCUAAUCUACAACCAAAAAGAAAAAAAUUGAGAAUUUUCUCAAAACCCUAGGGACCAUCAGUACAAGAUCCCUACCCUAAUCUUUCACCAUCUUGCAAAUCGUAUGAAUUCCUAAGGAACCACAGAUAUAAAUCAUCCGAAGAAAUUAUUCAAAAAAAAAAUCUUUGUGCGAUAAAAUAGAAAUUGUAAAAGCAAAGAAGGGAAGGAGGAGGCUCAGAUUCACCAGUUAAUCCAGCAUUAUGUUGUAAGUCUUCAACUAUCUGAAACUGUAAGCCUAGGCGGCUGCAUCCGCUGCCUGCAGAAUAGCAGCAGAGCAUCCACGAUCACCUUGCCGCUAGAAAAACCGUCUUCCACUUUGCAAUGCAGCAAAACCCUCAUCCCGGAAUCAUCCCAGCCUCUCCGCAUAAACCUAAAACCAGUGCCAGUUUCGCAAUUUGGGGAAAAAGAAAAGCAAGAAAAAGAAGAGAGAAGAAGAAAAAAAAAGACCAAGAAUAAGAAGAAGAAGAAGAAAGAGAAGAAGACCGAGUGCAUGAAGGCUCCGUGGGAUUCUUGAAUCGAAGAGACCAGACGAUCUCCCUUCAGUCUUCUCCUUGGUCUACCCCUCCGUGGGAUUUUCCACAUCCGUCUCCAAUUUAGAUAAAAAAUUUAAUUUCCUGGAUAUGCAAAAGGAGUGCAACAGCCAAAAACAGAAUAAUAUUUAUCAUAUCACUCAUCCAUAAUUAUGAAGUCCGUCAGAAAUUAUAUUAUGCAAGAUUGACCUAAUGCACGCACGAACAUGUAUUCUAAUAAUGAUGUGGCACUGACGUAUAUUUAAUUCUAUAUUAACUAUUUUUUAAAUAAAUAUUAAAUAUUUAUAUAAAAUCAAAAAAUUUAAAUAAUAUUUUUUUAUAUUAGCAUUUUAGAUAAAAUUCUAUAUCGUUAUAAAUAGUAUCAGAAUGGACCCAAUCUAUAAUCUAUAUAAAAAAAGAGCUACAUGCCGAUCGUGGUAUUUGUAAUUAGAUUUGAAUGGAUUUGAAUUCUCAAUCUGACGGAGACGUCGGAAGAGCUUGAAUAAAAAAAAAACACCCAUAUUGAUAUAUUGAAAAAGUAGCCAACAUAGCAUUAGCCGCUAAUUGGCUGGCUGACUAAGCAUCCAUUGUACAAAAAAUAAAAAAUAAAGCACUAUAUCCAAAUCUCAAGUUUCCUCGUAACAGUGACAGUGGGGGUCUCUCUUUCAAGAACAGUAGUUGCACUACUGAGAACGUUGCAAGUAUAUUGCAGCAAUAUGUCAAAAGCUUCAGAAUUUCUAAAGCCACAAGAGGGCUUACAAAAUUGAUUCAUGAACUAAAGAAAUCAAUUAUACAUACUAAUUAGAAUCUCCACCUUCCUCACAGCUUUCUUGACUUGCUUCUGCACUGUCUUCAUCUGCUGGUGAGCCUCUAUCUUCCAGGCUUUGCAGGGCCUGGUCCUACAGAUACCUUCACCAUCGAUGGACACAAGAGCCUUUCCCCAAGUUUGUAACCCUUCUGAACUUCUUGAAUUAUAAUGCCUUCUUCAAACUCCGUUGAUUCCUCAAGCAUUAUUAACUCAUGGAGCUUUUACAACAAAAUAAAGGUUGGAAAGGAAGAGUAACAAUAUUGAUGGAUAAGAAAUGUAGAGAUUGUGCCUGCGUGUGUGCAUGUAUAUAUAUUUGUUAAAUCAGCAGCAUAAGUAAAAUGAGCCAUUUGCAUGAUUCUGUUUGAAUUAGCAUCUUUAGCAUGUAACCUAUGCCCUCGAGAUAAAUGGUUAAGCCAAUAAUGCAACAAUCACCAAUUUGGCAACAACAAAGAUAGAGCUGAUGUGUGGUUGAGAGUCGGUCAAAAUGUUCAUAAAUCUCAAGAUUUUUAUUUUUUUUAACCAUAAAUUCUUGCAGCAUAUGCAUGUGAUAGGGCAUGCUGGUUAAAACCGAGCAAAACCAGCAGUUUGAAUACAUGCAGGUGUAUUCACAGAUUAGGCAUGAAAUGAAACUUCUGAAGCUUUAUAACAGGCAGCAGGUACAAAAGGAGCAUACCUCAACAUGAUGAAAAAAGAUAACUUACCGAAUGAUCAUAUGGAUUGCCAACAGUUUCCACAACUUCAACACCUAACGAAUUCAAAAUCUCCAGAAACCGUUUAUAGAUGCUCUGAUAACUGUUGUUUAUUUUCUCUUCUCCUUCAGAAUCCACCUUUAUCUCAGCUUUAGCACUUUCAAAUUCGUCUAAAACAGGCAACAAGCUCUCUAUAACUUCUCCUUGCAAAUUUGUCAUCAGAGAAAGAUUUUUUCUCUCCAUCCUUUUCCUAAAAUUAUCAAAGUCCGCACGGAUCCUAAGAAUGCGGUCCUGUUCUUUUGACAACUCUCCAGUCAAAGUAACAACUUUGGCUGCAAGAUAAUUCUUCUCUGCUUCAAUUAACUGGAGAAAGGCCUCUACCUCAGCAACUUUUGAUGGAUCAUUAUUAGCCAAAGCUUCUUUAUAUGAUUGCAGUGAUACCAUGACAGCAGAAGCAACCUUUUCUUCUGUAUCAACAAAGCUGCCAUCAUUUGCACCAUCCUCUUCAAGGAUUUCAUCAUCUAAAUCUGCCUGUGAUGAAGUCUUUUUCCUUUUUAGUUUGAGCAGAGGGAUGUAUUCUUGAUUUUCUGAGACACGAAGAGCAAAAUGUAGAAGCUAUACUUUCAAGUGAAAUAGUGGUAGAAGCAUAAGUACUCACCACCAUAACCAAAGAUCUCAUCCUCAGGUUCUUUUCACCAAGAAAGUUUUCAAAAUAUUAAAAGGAUUUUCAAUCUCCUUAAUCUUCUUUAUUUUUUUGAGAAGAUGUUGGAGAUACUAUGAUAUCUAAAGAUCUAUGCAUAAAAAGAAAAUUGAUGAAAGAAAAAGAAUUGAUUGUAUAACAAAAUCUAGAACUAAGAAACCAAUGUUGCACUACAAUGUGAGCAACGAAAUACCUUAUGCAUACUCGAUAUCAUCAUAACAUGCAUCACUCUUCAAGAUUCAACAUUUCUUUUUCAUGUGGGUACUAAAUAUUCAGAUAUAAAGAAGGAUACAUUGAGGAAUAGUAGGGGUGCCUGAAUUACUUGUUGGUGUGAUAACUUAUCACCUGAUUAAAUUUUCUUUUACGAGAUCGAAAGGAGAAGUUGGAGACUUUGCUAAGCCCCUCAAUCUAUAGAAUCCUGAUAGUUUUGGAUAACAUAAUCCACUAAAAAGGUGAUUAAACUCCCCCCCUCCCCCAACACACACACACACACAACAAAAAGAAAAAGAAAAUAGGGGGGAUUUGGUUCUAGCCAACAAAAAAGAAAGAGCAAUUUGAGAAUCAAAGAUCCCCCGACUUCUUCUCUUAAUUGCCUGCUUGCAACCAUAAGAUCCAUCUGUUAACAGAUAAUUCAUGGGCAUGUUCAGAAUCCAAACAGCCCACAAGAGAGGGGAAAAAACCUUACCUCUUCAAAAGAACAAGAUAAUUUCCGACAAACAAGAAACAGACCCCUAUUGGGGACCCUAAGAAAAGAAACAACUACCCAAGGAACUGAUGAAGUAUCUAAUUUUCAAACAUCAGCCAACAUCAGAGUCCAAUGCCUGCUCAGUACAGCAUGUCACAGUUUCAUGAGGGGGAUAAUCAGAUGCCUGACAACUAUGUCUGCUCAGUGGAAACAGGUUUCUCCAGGGCUUAGGUAUUAAUGGGUGAGAUAUAGGCUCAGGCUGAAGAACCUAGGCCAGAAGUCAAGCUGUAUAAGCCGUUGCUAUCAAGCUUAGGCCUAGUCUGAAACCAUCCCAGUUUGAUCAAUGCCCAGGUCUUAAUUGCAAUAGGUUCAAUUACACACAACCAAAUAGGCCCUUGGUAAGCAUUUGUUGUUCAGCCAAUGAUCUGACCCACCUACAUCGGUCUGCCUAUUUAAAUAAACCCAGACUAGACUUCAUGAUACACUUCUGCUAGAUGCAACAUAAUUUUCCUUAAGAGCACUAAGGAGGAAAACAAGGAACCCAGAGGAAGGACAAAAGAGAGCACUGAGAAAGGGGGAGAACAAAGAGAUAAAGAGACAAAUGAAAACAAUCAAGAGCUCGGUACACCAAAUUGUCUGCAACCUAAAAGCAGAAAUCCAAACAAUUACAAGGAAAGAGAGAAUUAUCGAUUUUCCACUUACCCACCUUCUUUCCCUCUCCAUCCCCUCCAUAUAGGACCAACAUGAGCAUGGGGCCAUUCUUCACCAGCAAGCUAGGAUACCACAUCAUCAUGGUUCAAAAAUUCAUCAAAACCAUAGGCAUAAACUUUAGUGCUGAUGCUAGUUAGACCACAAACUUUACCAUGACUAUUGGUGCACUGAUGUCACCAUUCUUGUAUCAUAAACCAUCAACAUCACAUUCCUACUAGCGUGGUACAUUGAAUCCUACGAGAUCUAUGGUGCUUACUCCAACUGGAUUAUUGUUAAAGCAAGCAGAUGUUCUUCUUGAGCCACAGUGAUGAAUAUCCCAAAUCCACUACUCAUCAAUGUGGCUACCUCUUCAAAUCCACAAAGUCAGAAAAUUGUCACCAGAUGUCAACGUCCAGCCACACUGCAAGAAGUUAUCUCCCAAUGACCAACAACAUAACAAAAGUGUGUAUUCAGGUCAUCUGCAUACCAUGGUUAUGGCAUACCACUGUCAAUGCCAGACCCUACCACAGCCUAUCCUUUAAGUAAUGAUGCAAAACAAGUCGAAAAGAAGCAAACUUUGUGAAAUAGAUAUUCAUUUAUCUUAUUGUACAUACUUAGAAAGCCUCUAGACUUCGGUCAUGCGAUGCCAGCUGCGAAACCUUUCACAAGUUAGGGACCACAAGUGGCCACCCGCCUUUUUCCAAUCUCUUCCUUCCACUCACAUCUGCCCUCCCUCUCCUUAUGAACAAUCCCAUCUUUAAUAAAUACAUCCCCUUGGUUCCCCUUUUACUCUCUUUAAUCUAGAGAAAUGAAGUUCGCUAGCCAAAGAUGGCAGUGUUUUUGUCAAGUGAAAUAGAUGAUCUAACAAAAAAAUCCAUGCAUUAAUAAGCAUGUAACAUAUUCUAACCAUAUAAUCCAAGCCUUUUAAGAGCUAAAAGGACAUAACAUCAUAUAUGAAUCUAGAACAUCCUAUCACGAAGGGAAAAAGUUCUAACACAUAAACACAUACUGAUCGCAAACCCACACAAACAUAUAACCAAACACUUGAUGCAGGCGAAGAUAUAUAUAUGUGUGUGUGUGUAUAUAUAUAUAGAACUAUAACUUAAGAC